UUGUUGUAGUUCUCACCCCACUAUUCCACAGAGCCGGGACCGAGCGAGCUGGCGAGCGACCGAGGCAAAGGUAUCGCGCCUUAGUCAGAGGCCACCAAAGUUGGAUUUCAUUUUGUAGUAAAGUACCCUAUGAUCAUCCUUUGUAUAUGAUGAUAAAUGAUGUAAAGAAAAGAAUGUAAUAUGUAUUUUGAGGUAAAUGUGAUGUAAGAAAGAAAUGAUGAGAUGAAAUGGAAGAAAUUCAAAGAUGAACCAGAUGAAUGAAUGUAUAUGAUCAAAAAUGAAUCAUAGUACAAAUGAAUGUUUAGUUUCCUUAUUCUUUCACUAAUGGCUAUUGCUUAUCCUCGUAUAAGCCGUUUGUGUAUAUAUUUCCGCUAGUGCUUUUCUCUAUUGAUGAAAAUGUACAUGUGAUGAGCCUUGGGCGGAUAGAAAAAACUCUGUCCGUUCGGCGUCUGUUUGACGUGCUCGGGCCGGCCCAAAUUGGUAUCGGUCCCGGGGCGUGACAUAACCAAAAUGUAGUUGCUUUACAUCUUGGUUAAUUUUCUUUGGACAACUUUGGAUAUGGCGUUUUAAAUUUGCUGUCCCAUGAGUAUUAGUACCUAUCGCAUAAGAGGCCUUGCACAAUAUACACCUUGCCCUAUUAUUCCCAUCAUCAUCAACAUAUGUGUCAAAACUGUUCCAUACAUCUGAAUAUUUACGAGGUUUUUCUUGCAGAAUCACUAUCACUAACCCUUUCUUGUUUAACAGUAGUUUGAAUAAUAUCAGGCUGUUGUGUCUCACAAUUAUUAUUUUCGUCCACUAUCUGCACAUGUUCUGAAUCCAUACUACAUAAUGGGAAAAAAAAAGUUACUCCACUAUUUUUGAAAAUUUUUCAGAUUUCAGCAUAUUAACUUUCAACCAAAUAAUGUAAUGAGCAAUAUGAAGCUAGCUAAUUUUUUAUUUCAUAUUUGUUAAAAGCUACAAGAAAAAUUAAAGGGCCAUUGCCUAAACAUUUGUAUUGAAAAUAAACAGAUGUAAAGUUGGAGAAGGACGAUGCAUUAAAAUUAGAAAUCAAAUCACUAGCAAGUUUUAUCUUCAACAAGAAAGUAAUAUAACAUAAACUUAUUCUAUGUAUUCGGAAUGCUAUAUUAUCUACUGCAAUGUUAUUUACCAACAAUUAACAAGAAGGAAGAAAAAGCCGAAAAAAUCAUACAUUUUCCAGAUAAACACAAAAAAGCCGGAGAAGGUGCAGGCGAAGAUCGUAAAUAAGCACUUGGUGGUUCGAUGUAGGUCGGGCCACCAGAGAAUAGUAGAGGAGUGCAGUUGCAAAGGCGACACAGUAUGAGAGGUGGCCACAACGAAAAAAAGAUAAACGAAAGGAAAUUAGGAUUAGGGUUUUUAGGAUGGGUAAACAAAAAAAAACAUUUUUUUAAUUAAAAAUAUAUAUCCGGGUACCCGUGGGUACCCGCGGGUUACCCAGAAUGCCCACAACUUAAUGGGUACCCACCCAUUUUACCCACAAUUUUUUGGGUAGGAAAAGUUGGUACCCAUACACGCAAUUUUAUGGGUAACCCGCGGGUAUCCGCGGGUUUGGGUCGAGAUUGCUAGGUCUAAGUAAAAUAUAAGUCGGAAAUGACUUUUGCCGAAAUUGGAUUGGAAACAGGAGAUUUAGAAUUUUCUGUUUGAAAUGGGGCAGGUAUUUUAGCAGAAACUUCACAGUGUCAGAAAAUUAUGAAAAUCUGAAAAUAUGUUGGGAUUAUUUUCAUGAGGCUAGAUUUAAAGUUUCAUGUCAUUCCGACACCCGGAAGGUGGAAAAUAAAAUCUGACUGCUAUCUGCUAGAGAUUUCAGUUUGGUAGAACUUUCGGUGACCAAAAAUGGUCGAAACUGAGAAGUUAAGAUUUCGUUCUUCUAGUUAAGAAAAAUCGAGCCUGACUGUCAAAUUUAAGCGCAAACGGACAUUCAGAGGGCUUCGGCAAAAAGUAUCAGAUUCUGAAGGACUAAACUGAAAAUUUCAAUAGUUGUUGGGGGGCUAUGUGUGUAACAAAUGCCAUACCCUUUUGUUGUCUUGGUCUGAACCGAGAGAGAGAGAGAGAGCAAGUUUCUUUUCUAUCUUUCUCUCUUUGUCUCUAAAAUUUCUCUACCUCUAAAUAAUCUCUCGACUAAAGAGGAAUUGGAGAAGAAAUUGGAGGAGGAAUUGGAGGUUGAGCUUGGAAUUAGGAAGAGAAGCUUCAUUUUCAUCUUCUUCUUCCUUGACUCAAGAAAAGGAAGCUUGUGAGGUAAGCUUCUUGAGCUUCAAUGGUAGAUUUCUAAAGUUUGAGUUAUAAGCUCUAGAAAUGGGUUUAAUUGAAUCUUAGGAUGCUAAAUGACUGUAAAUUGGAUGAAUCAAGUUCUAAUUUGGAGUAUUCUUGCAAUAGUAAACAUCUAGGGUUCUGAAUGUGGUUUUGUUAUAUAGAUGGGUUUGAUCUAAAUUGGACCCAUGUUAACCUAAUUGCUAGGUAUUCUGAAGCGUUGGCGAAGUCGGUUCGGCGAUCUGUCAAGUCUGCGCAAAGAUAUUGGCAAAAAGGACGUUUUUGGCUUCGUUUUCGCCUGGAGGGCCGAGACGGCGUCCAAAAAUCACGAAAACGGAUUCCUAGCAUCGCGGUAUCAAGUUAUAGACUUUUAAAAUCCAAGGUCGCGAAUUGACGCACGGUUGGUGAUCAUUUGCAAGAUCGGGCCGAACCGGACAACGAAUACUGCGGGAGGCUGAUUGCAAGUGACUACAAGCAAUCGAAAAGGGAUUUGAGGUGGGUUGUGCUCAUCGAAUUGUUUAGCUCGCUUCCAUGUCGAAGCGAUGUGAGAUUUACUAUUGAUGCAUAUAAUGGUAGCUAGUUGUAAAACUUAGGAAUGCAUGGGGUGAAUGCUAUGUUAGGCUAUCAAAGAAUGCAUGUUGACAUAAUAUAAAAUGCUAGAAGGAUGCAUAUCGACAUAAUGUAAGAAUGCUAAAUGAAUGCAUGUUGGUAUGUUAUAGAAAUGUUAGAUGAAUGCAUAUGAUUGAUGCUAGUUGAAUGCAUAAGAUAAAUGGCAUAUGAAUGUUAGCAUUAUGAGAAUUAUACUAGAAGGUAUUUGAAUGUUACCACCAUGGGAAUAUACUAGAAAGAAUGUGCAUGUUGACAUAUUAUGGAUUAUGUUAAAGAUAAUAUGCAUGUUGGCAAGUUGUAGAAUAUGCUUGAUUCAUAUGAGUUGAACAUGGGUCGAUAACUCUAGGGUGAUUAGAGGACUCGACAUUGGAAAACAAGAAUAUGAAAACUGUAAUAUUCGAUAUGGACAAGUAGAAUAUCAAGUAGAUCGAGUGGCAUGUAAAUUAGUGUGGUUGAGACACUUACAAUAUAAUGAUGUAAUCGAGUGGCAUUGAUAUUAGUGUAGUAGAGGCACUAUUAUUUGAACAUAGGGAUAGAUGAGUUCCCGAGUUGAUUGAUAUGUUGCAUGAGAACUUAGUGUGGUAGAGACACUUGUGACAUGAUGACUAUAGGGAUAGGUGGAUUUUCCGAGUCAUUGUUAUCCCUAGUUGACAGGGUAUCCUCAGUAGGCGAGGAUUGGAUCAUACCCACAUAGUCUGUUUUGAGCUUCGGGUGGUCGCUCCACACAAGCAGUACACUACGGAGUUGUCACAUGAGCGGGGUAGCUUACCGGGUGGGACACGAGCGGGGUAGCUCCUCACCUAUGAGACUUGAGAUGUGAGUCGGGGCGAAGGGCGGGGAAGCUCUCCACCUGUGAGACUUGAGAUGUGAGUCGGGGCGAAGGGCGGGGAAGCUCUCCACCUGUGAGAUUAGAGAUGUGAGUCGGGGCGAAGAGCGGGGUAGCUCUUCACCUAUGAGAUUUGAGAUCUGAGUCGGGGCGUAACCUUCGGGCUAGCUAAGUGAUUGGGUGUUAUACAUAUGACCUGUAGUUGAAUCCCAAUUGAGUGGAUUUAAGGCUGAGGUGCAAGUGAGAUGUCCUUCGCCUCGAGCCUGACUUUGCGCUGUAUUCCGCAGAUGAUUGACUCAAGACCGAGUCGGGUGGAUAGCUUUGAAAAGGUCGAUGAAACCUUAUGAGUGGAAUUGUAAUUGACUUGAAUCUAAGAUAGAGGAAACCUUAGAUGUCAAUUGAAUGAGUUAUGGAUAGCAGGAUUGAAAGUAGAAUCAAUCGAUCUACUAGUUGGUUGCAUAGUUGCAUAAACUGCAUGAUUUGCAUUGUUGCACGUUGCGAGGCAUAAACAUGAUGAUUGUUAGUUGCAUAUAUAUAUAUAUAUAUAUCUGUGGAUAUUUGUUGGACUAACAUGUUUGCAGUGCCUCCUUCGGAUCUGUUUGGUCAAGCUUUUCCCUUGGAUGGUUGUACCCACUGAAAACUAUGGACAAUAGUUCUCACCCCCGUGUUGUUUUUGGGGGUACAGGUUAACACGCGAGCGGCGCAGCGUCGCGAGGUCAGGGCGCAGCUCCGUAGAUAGUGCCCUACCACCGAGACCAGAGAUAGCGGUACCCUGAAGUGGUCUAGCUUAGGGGUUUGAAAUGAACUCAAAUGAAUGAAACAAACUUGUAAUGGAUUUAUAAUAACUAGAUUGUAUUUGGAAGGAAAUGUAAAACGAAAAUUGUAAAUGUAUAACCUGGGAUGAAUGCUUGUAAUAGCUUAGUUGUUUUGUAUUUUUGAUACUUCCUUAUGCAAUCUAUACUUGAUUCUGUUUCUGGUUGGAACAUCGUGAAUUGUAUUAAUUGUGACGCCUGGAAUAUACAGGGGAGACUGUCCGUUCGGCGGUCUAUCGGAGUGCCCGAAUCUGACCAAAUAGGCGGGUCUCAGGGCGUGACAAUUAUCCACAAUAUGUCAAUAUGCAUAUUCCAAUGGUAGGUAACAUUAACUAACAUAAUAGGAUUCAUAUUAUCAAUCACAAUCUACGACUAUACAUAUAUGCAUAAAUAAUAAUCAUACUUUACUUUGGCUUCGAAGCAACCUAAUCGCUUCGGUGGAGCACAACCCACUUUUAAUUGAUACCGAAAUGCGAGAAAUUCACUUUCCGCAAUUUAUGAACGAUCGCAAUCCUUUCUCGCGACAAACGAAGCUAAAAUGAGGUUUUUCCUCAUUAGCUUGUCGUAGGCUCGUCGGAACGUCGAUCCGAGCUUUUCAACGCGUCAGUUUUACCCUCAAUUAGGUUUCCACGUGAUCAAUCCCAAGCUAGAGCUUCAAUCCAACAAUUUAGUAUUUUCAAGUUAGAGCUUUAAACAACCUGCUACUAUACAAACUUCAACUUAAUACAACCUGUUUCUAUACAGGUUCUAUAAGAAUCUAUAUAGAAAUCUCAGCUUUAACCAUUCAAGAAUCUCAAAACCAAUUCCCUUAAGGUAUUUAUAUCAAGCCUUAACCAGGAAUAACAACUUACUCACCAUGCUCCCAACUGCCAGGUUCAUAUACAUGAUACAUAUAGGCCUAUUCUAGGCUUUUCAUGUUAAAAACAGCACUAGCAACCCAAGAAAACCCAAGUUAAACCCUUUCUAGGUGAUUAAAAUGAUCUUUAAUCAGGAAUUACCUCAACCCUACAUCAGUUUAAAACUCCAACAGCUUAUUUAUUUCCCAGCUGCAAACAAUCACACAUAACAUAAUACAUAGCUCUCUCUAAGUUUCACAUAGCAAUUUCAGUUUUAGAAACCUAAAAUUUCAUUGUCUACUCCUCCUUUAGGUUAAAUACCAUGAACCAUAACCAGGAAAUAUGUCUCUCCUACCUCAGGUUUCAUCCCAACAAAUAAUUCACAUGUAUAUAUAUCUAUAUAUAUGUUGUCAACACACAAUUCUUUAGGAUUUUUCUAAUAGAAGUUCUAAUACCCCAAAAUCUGUAGCUUAAUCUCUUUUAGAGCAAUAACCUAACUCUAAUAUGAAAUUAGAUCAAACCUACCUCAACUUGGAAGCUCCCACAAGCUGCUCUCAACUCCUGGACCGUCCUCUCAGCUCAAACCAUCAAGAAAACCCAACUCCACACGAACCCUUUUCACUAACUUCAGCCACCUUAGGCUUGUAGAAAGAAAAGAAGAAAAAAAAUGAAAAGAGGAUGAAGUGGAGAGGAGAGAGGAGAUUUAGUACAUAGCAGCUACUGGGGUAAGCUGCGGUUCAGAUAAGAUCAGCUAAUUUCUCAUAACACCCCUCACAAAAGCUGGGUUCAACUCUUUCACAUUUUGAUUCGUGCAGUUUUCUGCACCUGGCAGCAGCUGGAAGCAGCAACAAUUGCCCUCAAAUCCUCACACAAAGUUGAAAUUCUGUUUUACAGAUUAGUCCCUGUGGUUUCCUUGCAUUUGGCAGCAGCCGGCAACAGCAGCAAUUGCUCUUAAACCGCCUACAAAGCAGAAAUUCUGCUUUUACAAAACAGUCCCUGCAGUUUUUAGAAAACAGUCCCUGCAGCCUCUUUUUGGCACUAGACAGCAGCAGCUGGCAGCAGCAGUAGUUGUAGCAGCAGCUGCAAUUAGCAGUAGCAGCAGCACUCAGCAGUAGCAGCAAUUGCACUUAAACCCCCCCAAAAGCAGAAAUUCUGCUUUUACAAUUUAGUCCCUGUAGCUUUUUAGUACAGAAACUGCACUAGGCAGCACUUCCAAGUCAUUUUCUCGCGUAAACUUCGUUCUAACACCUCUAAACACUUCUAAAUUUGCCACUUAACUAUCCCCACAUCUCCAAAAUGAUUUGGAGAUACCAUAAAUUAUCCUCAUUGUUCACUUUGAUACAUCCAAUCAAAGUUAGCGUCGUAAGCCGGAGAUUCAUUUUCGAGUUCGUUUCGCGCCCAAUAUGCACCGAAACAUUCAAUCACUUCCCAAAAUCAUUCCCACACCUCUAAAAUUAUUCGGGAACGAUGUACAUCCAGCUCAAGCUUCAUUUUGAUCCCCCAGAUCAAAGUUAGCAUUACAACCCAAAAUUUUCGGUACAUUACAACGUGAGCUUUGGUUGUUAGACCAGUUAAACCCUUUUGCAUUGACUACAGCCUGUAAGAGCCUGAUUGGGCUUGGCAGAGACACGCUUACAUACUCGGUUGGAUCGCGCCGACGAGUGCCGCUUCGGAGUGAGGCUUUGACUUGCGUUGAUGUCGCAGCCAUCCUGUUUGGACCAUGUUCUUGGAUCGACCAUCCCCGUGGGUGGUGUACGGUGUAGAAGGAAAAUGAGGAGGAUGAAAAAUGGUGUAAAUUUUGCCCAAAAUUGCACCAUUUCGCCCAAAAUUGCACCAUUUCGCUCAAUUUUGCACAAUUUCAUCCAAUUUUGCACCAUUUCGCCCAAAAUUGUACAAUUUCUCCUUCUCCUCCUCUUCCUCUUCCUUCUUCCUUUUUACACCAUUACACCAUUUUCUACACCUUAGAAAUUGCAUUCUUUGGACAAUCUCAUCUCCCUCAUCGGAGAGUAGGACUCGGACGACGAUCUUGAGGGCAUGGAUCUACUUCUUCAUCUUGGAGUCGAGGGUGCCCCACUCAGUCCUCUGGACCUCCUCGAUGCUCAUCUUGUCGACACUGAGGGCGGCGAGGGUGUCCGCGACGGACGGCGUCGCGGCGGACGGCGUCGCGGCAGACGGCGAUGUACAUCUAGCUCAGCUCCUGGCCAUACCCGGUGCGGAUCAUGCGGCUGGCGAUCUCCGCGAGGUCAUUGACGGCGUUGGCGUAGAGGAGGUCGGAGGAAAAGUGGUUGGCGAAGAGGAUCCCCGGCCUCCUUCUCUGCCGCUGCCGUCGCAGGAGUCCUCAAGAUUGGCGCCGUGGGGGUGGGGGUCGGAUCUGAAGGAGGAGGUGAGGGCGUCGUCGUGGGAGAGGGAGAGGCGGCGGAAGGAGGAGGUGGGUUCCUCGAAGGUGGAGGAGGCGAUAGGGAGGGUGCUGCGGAGGAGGUGGCGGAACAAAAAAAUAACGAAGGAAAAAAAAAGAGAGAGAAAAAAAGAAGAGAGAGAAAGAAAAGGAAUAAGGGUAUUUUCAUCCGAUGUAAAAACUUCGGUCCGAAUUUGCAAAAUUAGAAAAGGUGGCUUAGUUUUGCAAAAAGUCAAAACUUGUGGAUUUUUUUUUAUGCAAAUGAACAUUUCAUAGUAAUAAUAAUAGAGAAAAAACUGACCGUACCUAGAGCAAGUGACAAAGGGCUUGGUGGUUGGUACCCGAGACCUAAGUUCGAAUCCUAGUUGAUUCAUAUUUCUAGCUAAGUUUAUUUCUAAAUAAAAUAAACGAAGCGGAUAACGUGCUACCUAUCUCUUAAAAAAAACAAAAAAAAAGGAAAAAAGAAAAAAUAGAUCCGAGCAGCGUAAAAAUUUAAUCUAUUUGCUGUGCCCUCGCAUUACUUCAUCUUUCCCCAUUCUCGCUGCCCAAUCCUUAUUUUUCAACCCACUCUCCCCUUCUCUUUUGCCCUAGGUUUCCCAAAUCUUCCGGUCUCUUCUCCUUUCCCUUUCCUUGUCUUCUUCUUCACGGGCUGCCUCUGUGAUCCAAGAGGACAUCCUCACCCAUGGCGGCGUCUCUCCGGGCAAGAAGCUCCCGCCGCUACAACACGAGGCGCCGAGCGGCUGCUGGUGCCGUCGCCGCCGUGUCCGACGCUGCCGCCGCCACUGCUGCCUCCGCUGGCGCCGCGACCGUAAAUGAUUUUUUUUCUUCUUUAUCCUUUUCAUUCAACCAUUAAUGCAACCGUAAAUGAUUUUUUUUUUUUAUUUUGCAUUUAGAUGGUGUCUGAUCAUAUUUUGAUUCUUAUGUCUCUAUGUCUUGGUGGAUUUAAUUUUAUCUUAUGUAAAAGUAAAAAUAGAGUAAUCUUUUAGAAGAUAAACCAAACGCUUAAAACAGUAUAAUUUUUUUAUAUGAUAUAGAGUUUUUCAGAAUAUCAAAUACAAUGUAAAAUAAAGCUCUAUUUUAUUUUUCAGUAGUUGCCAUCAUAGUUAGUUAAUUCGCGAAUUAUUCGCGAAUUUUUGAAAUGCCGAAUAAAACUUCCGUUUUCGUAUUUUUUUCCAAAAAUUCGGAAAAAUUCGCAUUUUUUUUUUUUGGGUAAAAAGAAUUAUUCGCGAAUUAAACGGAAUUCGCGAAUAAUUCGGCCCAAAAAACCGGCCCAGAACCCGUUUUGCCUCGCCCAAAACCCGCUUUGCCUCACGAGUCACGGCCCUCACCCUGUCGCCCAAAAGGCCAAAAAAAAAAAAAAAAACUUUCUGAAAUCUGAAGUGAAAAGAUCGCCCCCCUCCCACCACGAGUCCCACACCCCUCCCAAAAAAAGGGUUUGCCCUAACUUCUCACCCCUGCGGCGGUGCGGCGCGCGGCCCUGCCACCGACCCUGCGGCGGUCGCGGUCCCUUCCCCUCCCCCUCUUCCCUUCCGGCCGCUCGCCGAACGCCAUCGGAAGCCCUCCUCUUCAGAAAUCGAAGAUCGAAGAUCGGGUUCUUCACUCUUCAGAAAUCGAAACCCUCCUCGUCGCCUCUUCCUCUUCCGCUUCCGCUUCCGCUUCCGCUAUCCAACGAUAGAUCAGUAAUCGGGUGGUUCUUUACAAACCAGGUACGAUUUGAAGUUUCAUUCUUCAAAGCAAAAGUUGGGAGCUUUUAGUCCUGAUGGAUACUUUUUUAUACACAAAUGUCUCGAGUGCUUAAUUGAAUUGAAUGUGUCUAUUCCAUAGUUAGUUAAUUCGGAUUCGCAUUUUGAUAUAGUCGAGGAUUAAAUCAUCAUUUUCUAGUUUAUUUGUACAGAUUCGCAUAUUGAUUUUAAAUUUUUAUUUUGGGCAAUAACUUAAUCUCGAGUGCUUAAUUGAAUGUGUCCAUUCUCUGUUAUGCACAAAGAAGACCCAAACAUAGAGCUAAAUAAUCUUAAUUAACUUAGGGACCAGGAACUCUUCUAUUAUACCUAAUCAAUUUCAUUAUCUUGUACUGUCGACACUUGCAAAAGGAAAAUUUUGUUGUGGUCUUUCAUGGACCAUUGACUCAGUGGGGUUUCUACUUAAUUUUUGAAACAUAACUUUUUAGUAUUAGAAAUGCAGCAAUUUAAAUAUGGACUAUCUUGAUCUCUAUUUGCUUAAUUAUUUCUAUAUUUUGAGGCUUAAUAUAGUAUACUAUUUUUUUUACUUACUUAGUUCAAUUUUGUAGCUCUUUAUUCUUAUAUUCUUAAAAAAUAUGAAUAUUUAUGCUAAUAGCAGAAAUCUUGAGAGAAAAAAAAACUUAAUUUAAUAGCCGAAUUUUUGAUCCCGAAUUUUUAAUUAGUGAAUGUAUAAUAUCCGUAUAAAUCACGUAUCCGAAUAAUUGGCGAAUCCCUUUUUUAGCCUUUUUUUCAACGAAUUUAAAAAUUAGAAGACGAAUUUUAUCCGAAUUAUACCCGUACCGAAUUUUUGCCGAAUCCGAAUUAACUAACUAUGGUUGCCAUACAGGCCCUGUCUGUAGAGAAACUUGUGUAGAUUUGAACCGGUUUGAAAGAAAACUAGUGUCUGGUAGAAUCAAUUCCCGGAGCGGUUCUGAUCCAUCCUGUUAACCUUGGCUGAUGGGUUCACUGCUGUGCCUAAACGACGGUUGAAUUUUAGCGAACAAAACCUCACAACCUGACAUAUCGAAACCUUUUUGCAGUGGCGGCGUUUUAGACUCUUAAUAUUAAGGGAUGGCGAUUUAUGGAGGGUUUGGUGGCGGGACGUGCGGAGCGGCCAUUCGCCUUCUUGAACCGGUAAGUUCUCUGCUUUGCUCUCUCUCUCUCUCUCUCUCUCUCUCUCUCUCUCUCUCUGAAUCGUAACUCGUACGGUGGUCUAGCAAAUUAUGAAUGUGACUUGACUGUGAUUGCCACCGUGUGGCGAUUGUUUUAGUUUUAUCUAAUUAACCUAGGAGGCUUCUUAGAUUCUAUGUCAAAUGUGUCUCUUCCUUGAACAUGAUGAGAAGAAGGAAACAUUUGUUUUUCGUCAACACCAAGGAAGGUUAUGGUCGUUAUUGUGAAAUUGUACGUCUAAACUCGUCAGUCCUUUUAUGGAAGAUAGUGUGGUAUUGUGUUAGUUUAGCUUAUUCUGGAUAUUAGUACAGGAAAUAGUUGAUUAUUACGUGUCAAUCAAGGUUUUCUGGAAUAGGUACAUUUCAAUUAGUCGGUCUCUCAUGUUAGAGUUUGUAUUUUGAUGGGAAAAUGAUGCCGAGCCUAUCAUAUAUGGUGUCUUUAGUUAUAUACUUGUUUUCUGCUGCUUAAGAAUGCAACAAAUGAUUAUUUGUAAUAGUGCCAAUAGUUUGAAAAGUCCUACAAGAUACCUUGUGAUAUAUCUCGAUGCUUUGCAAACUGUACCUAUGCAGUUGUUUUGAGUGACAUAGAUUGUAAAGUAAUUUUCCCGCUCUAAAUAACUAAGAUAGUUUGUUCUUAUAUUGGAAAUGAUCUGAAAUGCAUUAAAAAGAUGGCCUAAAAGUUUGUAGUUGGUCCUUCAGAUUGCUUGUCGUCAGAUCACAAACUUUGUGGUUUUUAGAUAUGUAAUCAUGCAUUGAUAGGGAAUAACACAAUAGAUUAUUUUUAUUUACAUAAAUGUUGAAAUGUGCGUAUGUAGGUUGGUUGUUAUAGUGGGUUUCAAAUUUGUAAAUUUUGCAUAUCUAGGAUGCCACUGUUUGAAAUGCUAAAAUGUUCUAAUAUAACAUUAUAGUGUUUGUUGUUUUUACACGACAAGUUAUCGAGGAUGAGUAAAAGGUAAGCACAAAGAUAUCAUGCCUAUGACCUCCAUAGAAUAUUACUUUUCCUAGAUAUUGUUUGGAUACUCACUUAAACCCUUGAAUUGAUUUCUUUUUUCCUUUGAAAAGCCAAAACAAUAUUUGAAUAUUGUCAGUGCUUAUUAUUUUGCUAAUAGAUUUCUCCUAUCUGCUUUGUCAUGAUACUUCCAAAUUAUGCAUGACCACUGCUUAAAAAAGCCCAAGGCGCUCCUAGGCGCAAAGGGCUGUUGGAGCCUAGGCGCAAGGCGAAAGGCGCAGGCGCGCGCCCGAGAGAGGUCAAGCUCACACUUUCAUAGAAUUUUGAAAUAAGUAAAGAACCAAGAAGUGUCUUACUAUACUUUCUAAUAAUUAUUAAGUAGCACUAAAUAUACUCUAUAAAAUCAUAUUAUCACAAUAAAUAUUCUAUAAUUACCCAAAUAAUUACGUUUCCAAAAGGAAAAAAAUUAAGAAAAGAAAACAAGCCAAACAACAUAUAUGAUAAUUUUGAAAAAGAAAAUAACAUAGAUAAAAGUAAAGAACAAAUUACCUUUUUUAUCUCCAAAUAAAGGCCAACAUAAAGGUAACUAUUAAUUCACAAACAUAUAGGAAAUUUUGAUGUGAAAAUCAUAUAAUUAUAAGCACAAGAUCAUAAAAAGUAAUAUGCAUAAAAGUUUAAAGUUUCAAGCCAAAAAUCAUUAAAAAAGCAUCAUAAUCAUCUGAAAGCAGUGAUUAAAAAAGCGCGCCUUAAUAUAGAGGGAGAGGCGAGUUGAGUUGAAGAAGCAGAGAGGGAUAGCCGGAGGCAAUCGGAGGUGAUGGACGAGUGGCAGAGAGGAUCGGUCCGAGCGGAGAGAGGGAGAGGGAGCAGACUCAGCGAGAGGAGAGGGAGCAGACUCGGCGAGAGAGAGAUGGAGCGGAUAGAUGUUUAGGGUUUAGAACUUUAGAUUAGAUUGGUUUUGGGUUUAUUUUACAUGUUUUAAACCCAUUAGACCAAUAAAUAUAGGAUCCAAACCCAUUAAAGCAUAUAUUUUUAGAUCCAAACUCGGUAGUAUCAAAUAUAUAUUAAGUGCGCCUUUCUUGCGCCUUGCGCCUUGCGCCUUGCCCUAGGCGUGCGCCUAGGCAGCCCAGGCGCACACCUAGAGCUAGGUGCAAGGUGCGCUCAAGGCGUGCCUUCUUCAUAUUUGUCAUAAUGGGUUUGGAUCUAGGGGCUGCCUAGGCGCUGGCCAGUGAGCCUAGCGCCUAGGCGCCUAGGUGCGCGCCUAAGGCGUGCUUUUUUAAUCACUGUGCACGACUAUCUGCUUUAUGUUGUAAUGAAGGUACGAAUUGACUUGGUUAUUGAGUAAUAUUGUUUCAUUGCUUAAUUGUGAAUAGGUGGGGCUGCCGCUUUUGCUAAGCCCACUUGGUUCUAAUAUCGUAAUUCGAACAGCUUGGUGAGUUUCAUAUCCUCUUUAGGUUUACUUUUAGAUGAUGAAACAUUUUUGAAAUGCUUACUUUGUUUGGUAUAUUCACUAAGGACUAUGAUUUUUGGCAAACACAACUAGUUAUAGCUUCCUAGAUAUUGCAUCUUGUCUCCUUAAUUCUUUUUCUAUAAAGUAUGAAAUUGGUGAGGUUGUGUCAAACUUGUUGUUCUAUGUCUUUAUUUGGCUAUAUCUAUGUGGUGCAGUUGCACUGUGGGGAUUGCUUUGCCUGUAUACUCAACUUUCAAAGCUAUAGAGAAGAAAGAUCAGAAUGAACAGGAAAAAUGGCUUUUGUAUUGGGCAGGUUGGUAGUGUAAUAUAUGCCAUGGGUUUUUUUUUACUAUAAAUGCAUAAAACACUACCAUUUUCAACUUUCUCUGUUUUAUUUGUUUGAUUGGAUUUUUUUUUUUAAAGUUUUUUAAAUGUAAUGCCUUUGGUGUAGUUCAAAAAAUAAUAACUCAAUUAAAAACCUAUAUUGUUUUGAAAGUUAAACAUUCUGAUGUGAUACUGAUAAUAACUGAAAAGAAAAUUAAUCAAAUUGGAACGAGAACUUGUGUUGUGCUUGGAGCCCUUGGAAUUUCUUUUAUCUUCAAAAGUUGUGCCAAGAUAUAAUAAUUUUGAAGUUGUAAUGAGUUAUGGUUCAGUUCAAAUCAAUUCCAAUCCAAAACCACCAUCAACCAAUCUAUAGAUUUGAAAGAACAGCAGCACAAGGCAGCAACAAAUAAACAACAACAAGGGGAGGGUUGCAUAACAGAAGAAUACUGAUGUAGUGCAUCACAAGAAAGAAAUGAAAGGUGAAAAGUCAUUCUCGGGUUAACCCAGUUAGCCUAUGCAUUGUUCAAUGUUUUUGUCAUAACUUCGACCUAGUUAGCCUAUGCAUUGUUCAAUGUUUUUUUGUCAUAACUUCCUCUAGAAUUAUCCAAAUUGCACUUUGUUUGAUGCUUUGGAAACUAGACUUGAAGCACUUUUCAAUGAUACAAAAUUCCAAGGAGUUAGGGCCCGUUUGACCUAGAUUUUGAAAAGUGAUUUCUACAGAAUUGAUUUUGGUUUGAAGAAUUGAUUUUGGUUAAAAGCUGUAGCGAUUGGUUGAGUUUUGGAUCGAAAACGAUUUUUCUGAAGUGAUUUUGGAAUGCUGUUUGGCGAAGUAUUUCUGCUGUUUGUAAAUAAUAAAUUUUUUUUACUAAAUCUUAUUUUAAAAUUAUUUAAAAUUUGAAUUUAAAUUUUAAAAUUUAAAUUUAAAUUAUAAAUUUGCACACAAUUUAAUUUGAUAUUUUAAUUUAAAAUAUAAAUUUGAAAAGUUAAAAUUAAAAAUUAAAAAUUAAAAUUUUAAAUUUUAAAUUUCAAAAGAUUAGAUUUGAAAUUUGAAAUUUGAAAUUUCAAAUUUAAAAUUUUUAAUUUAAAUGAAUAUUUAAAAUUUAAAACUUGAAAUUUUAAAUACUAAUGUUUACAAUUUAAAAUUUAAAAUUUAAAAUUGAAAUUAAAAAAUUUAGAUUUUGAAUUUUAAAAAAUUAAAAUCCAUUAUUUGAAAAUUAAAACUUACAAUUUUAAAAUAUAAAUAUAAAAUUUAAACUUUAAGAUUUAAAACUCUAGAUUUGAAAUUUGAAAAUUUCAAAAUUUAAAUUUUAUGUUAAAUUUUAAAUUUCACAAAUUUAAAUUUUAUGUUAAAAUUUAAUUUCACAAAUUUAAAAUUUUGAAUUUUUAAAUUUAAAAUUUGAAAUUUAAAAGUUUAAAAUUGAAAAUUAAUAAUUCAAAUGUGAAAUUUAAAAUUUAAAAUUAAAGCUUGAUUUAAAUUUUAAUUUUGAAUCUAAAUUUAAAAUAAAAUUUAAAAUUUUUCCAAAAUUAGAAUCAGAUUUCAAGAAGUAGGUUUGGCUACUAAUUUUGGCCUCGAAAAUAAAAAAACUGAUUCGAAAAAUCAGAAUCAGAUUUUGAAAACUAGGUUGCCAAACGCUUUAUUAAACCAAAAAUCACUUUUGGGCCCAAAAUCUCUUUUCAAAAUCUAGGCCAAACAUCUACUUAGUUUACAAUCUUGUGCAGAUUUAGGAUGGGAAACAAAGCGACUUUCUAGUUUUUUUUGUGGUUCUCCUGCUUUGUAACUAGCAACUAGUGUUUUGAAUGUUUAUGGAGUCUAAGGGUUGGGUUCAUCAGUCAAGAAGUUCAUAAUUAGCAACUAACAUUAAGAGAUCUACAUAAUUAGCAACUAACAUUAAGCAACUAACAUUAAGAGAUCUAUAAAAGGGGUCUAUAGCAUCGGCUUGAGUCAGUUUGGUCUUGAAUUAUCUUUGAUUAAUGAAUUGAUAGUGAGUUUGUUGACUUCAACUUUGUCUAGCUUUGCUUUGUUGUGCUUUAAGUUUCUUCUUCCCUUUCUCUAUCGUCCACCCUCAUCAUCUGGUAUUAGAGAUUGAGUGAGGUUAUUAGAUGAGUUCUUGUCUCAUGGCGACAGAAGGAGGAUGGGGAAGGCAUGGAGAUCUGAUGAUGGGCAGUAUAAGAGAUGAUAAAGGUGAAAAAAUUCGAGUUCUUUGAAGGCAAGUUGAGUAGCUUACUGUGCGCUUUGAACGACAGGAGGCUCAUAGCUCUAAAACAUCAAGCUAUGGGUAUUCCAAUGAUGAAGACGAAGAUGUGAAUCCAUUUGCCAGCUGGCAGGUUCGGGAGGAGACAAUUAAGGAGAGUUUUCUCCAUACAUUUGAUACCAUCAAGGUUGGUUUCUUGGAAUUCGAUUAUCGUCUUUGGCCCGAAGAGUUUCUUGACUGGCUUUGUGCUGUUGAGAAAUUCUUUAAAUGUAGGGAUGUCGUUGAGUACUACAAGAUAAAAGCUAGUGGUCACUGACUUUGUGGCUGUGCUUCGACUUGGUGGGACAAGGUCGAAGAAUUGUGACUUCGCAAAGGCAAGUAGGGGUGAAAACAGAUCGGAUACGGUCUGAUAUUGGACAGAACCAUAUCCGCAUCCAUAUUUUUUUAUUCGGGUGUGAAUUUCCUUUUGGAUAUUUGUCAGAUGCUAAAUUUUCGUUACCUUAUCCGCUAAAAAUGGAUUCAGAUAUAGUCAGAUACUUUUUCGAAUUUGGAUAUGGAUUGGAUUUGGAUUUGGAUAUGGAUAUUAUUCGGAUAAUAAUAUAUACUAGUACGUACAUAUAAAUAUGAACUAGAGUAAUUGCCAAUACAACUUAAGUUUCACACUUAUGUUUAAAUUUUUAUGUACCUAUAUUUUAUUGAAUAAAAUCUAAGAUAUAAUAAAUAUAAAUGCCAUAAUAUAAAAUUCAUAAUAACAUAAACAAAGAACAUAAAAAAAAUCACCUUAUUUUCCCAUAAUAUAUAUAUAUAUAUAUGUAUGUAUGUAUAUAUAUGUAUGUAUGUAUAUAUAUAUAUGUAUGUAUGUAUAUAUAUAUAUAUAUAUAUAUAUGUAUGUAUAUAUAUAUGUAUAUAUAUAUAUGUAUAUAUAUACAUACAUAUAUAUACAUACAUAUAUAUAUAUAUAUAUAUAUAUACAUAUAUAUAUAUAUAUAUAUAUAUAUAUAUAUAUAUAUGAGUAGGUCUUGUGUGCUGCUAUUAGGAGCACGGAGGCCUCGGUGCUCCUAAGCUGUUUUCGAUGAUGGAUCUUUCAAAUCGACGGUCGGCUCCGUUAGACUUGAUCUAGCGUAUUUGAAGUAUCUAGAAAAUAAAUUUUGCGAUUUUUCGAUAUUAUUUGCCUAGCGAUCGAAAGGGUUCAAAAUCAACGGCUGGAAAUAAAAAUCUCACAAAAAGUGGUGAUAUAGUACUAAAAUUUUCGAUCAGAGACAUUGAUCUUGCUGUAAAUAGUAUAAAGAAUUUUCUAGCAAAAUUUCAUAUGAUUUGAAUACUUAUACACCGUUAAACUUGCAAACGGUAUACAUCAACCAUUAAAAAUUAUUUAUUUUAAACCCUUUCGAUCGCUAGGUAAAUGAUGUCAAAAAAUCGUAAAAUUUAUUUUCGAGAUAUUUCAAAUACGCUAGAUCAAGUCUAACGGAAUCGAUCGUCGAUUCGAAAACUCCAUCAUCGAAAACGGCUUAGGAGCACGGAGGCCUCCGUGCUCCUAAUAGCACACAAGACCUACUAUAUAUAUAUAUAUAUAUAUAUAUAGAGAGAGAGAGAGAGAGAGAGAGAGAGAGAGAGAGAGAGAGAGAGAGAGAGAGAGAGAGAGCGAGCGAGCUAGGCUGGUAUACUAUCGGUAGCACGGAGGCCUCCGUACUAGCAAGUUGUUUUCAAUGAUGCGGCUUCCAAAUCGACGAUCGGCUCCGUUAGACUUGAUCUACACUAUUGAAAGUAUUUGGAAACUAAAUUUCAUAAUUUUUCAGCAUCAUUUACCUAUAAAACGAGUAGUCUGAAAAUGAACGGUUGAAAAUAAAAAUCUCAUAAAAAAUAAUAAUAAAAGACUUGAAUUUAAGAUCAGAGGUACUGAUCUUACUCUAAAUAGUGAAAAAAAUUUUCUAUAAAAAUUUCAUUAGAUUUAAAUUGUUUUACACCGUUAAAUUCACAAACCCAUCACAUCUACCAUUAAAAUUGUCAAUUUUGAGACCUUUUGAUCACUAGGUAAAUGAUACCGAAAAAUUAUGAAAUUUAGUUUCCAAAUAUUUUCAAUGGUGUAGAUCAAAUCUAACGGAGCCGAUCGUCGAUUUGGAAGCCGCAUCAUUGAAAACAACUUGGUAGCACGGAGGCCUCCGUGCUACCGAUAGUAUACCAGCCUAGAUCUAUAUAUAUCUGUUAGAUUUGAUCUACACUAUUGAAAGUAUUUGAAAACUAAAUUUCAUAAUUUUUCGGUAUCAUUUACCUAUCAAACGAGUAGUCUAAAAAUGAACGGCUGAAAAUAAAAAUCUCAUAUAAAAUGAUGAUAAAAUAUUUGAAUUUAAGAUCAGAGGUACUGAUCUUACUCUAAAUAAUGAAAAUAAUUUUCUAUAAAAAUUUCAUCAGAUAUGGAUUGUUUUACAUUGUUAAAUUCACAAACGCAUCACAUCUACCAUUAAAAUUGUCAAUUUUGAGACCUUUUGAUCACUAGCCAAAUGAUAUCGAAAAAUUAUGAAAUUUAGUUUCCAAAUACUUUUAAUAGUGUAAAUCAAGUCUAACGGAGCUGAUCGUCGAUUUGGAAGCCGCAUUAUUGAAAACAACUUGGUAGCACGGAGGCCUCCGUGCUACUGAUAGUAUACCAGCUUAGCUCUCUAUAUAUAUAUAUAUUAUCAUCCCAUACAUAUUAAUGUAAAUGUAAAUAUGUAAUAGUACUAAAAAAUCUAGAUGUCCAUAUUCGUAUCCUUUUUUUGUGGACAUCUUUGACUCUCUAAAACCAUAUCCAUAUCCAUAUCCAUAUCCAACCUGAUCCAAAUAUUUUCAAUCCAGAUAUGGAUAAUAUUGAAUAUGGAUGCGAAUAUUUUCAGAUAAUAUCUAAUCUGUUUUCACCUCUAAAGGCAAGCCUAAGAUCUCUUCUUGGGAAAAGAAAAGCUCCAAGCUUUGAGAGCAUUUUCUACUUGCGAAUUUUGCUCAAAACAUGUUUUUGCAAUUCAAGAACCUUCAAAAAGUAGAAGUGUUAUCGAGUACACUGAACAAUUUUACCAAUUGAUGGCUCGCAAUGACAUUCAAGAGACGAAGGAGCAACUUUUUGCAAGGGGUGGUAUAAAAGUAUCAAUUCGUGACGAAGUAGAAUUACAAACAAUGAAUAUGCAGGUUACAUGAUGCUUUUCAACUUGCUCUUAAAUUGAAGCAAAAUUAACUAAAAGUGGUUAAGAAAAGUUGUUGAUGUGUGCAGUCUUUAUCCACCUACAAAGGAUGAGUCCUCACAUAUGAUGUUGGUGCUACAAAAUUUGGUGGUCCUGCGAAGACCACGACCAAUCAUGGAGGAUAGUCAAGUCACACCAAACAAUCUUCCACUUGUUUUAGUUAAGUAAGGUGGUCGCUAUGCUCGUGAAUGUCUGUUGAGGCGAGUGGACGUUAGCAUAAUAAUUGUUGAUGUAGAGUGCAAUGAAGAAAUAUUACUUGUUUUUAGUUAAGUAAGGUGGUCGCUAUGCUCGUGAAUGUCUGUUGAGGCGAGUGGACGUUAGCAUAAUAUUUGUUGAUGUAGAGUGCAAUGAAGAAAAAUUGAGAUUUUUUAGAAGAACCAAGAUGUCACGCCCCGCGACCGCCCGCCUAUUUGGCCGGGUCGCGGCGCCGCGAACAGACCGCCGAACGGACAGAGUUUUUCCUGUAUGUCCUAGGCGUCGCAACCUGUACAAUACAAGGGUUCUAACUAGGAACUGAUCUCAAUCAAGAUUGCAUAAGGAAGUAUCAAUAACAAAAAACUAACUGCUAUUACAAGCAUUCAUUUCAUACACUUUAUACAUCACACCUUUUCUUUUACAUGUGUUUAACUUCCAAAUACAAUCACAUUAUUUACAUUUAAUACACGUUGGUUGUUGUCAUCCCAUUCUAACCCCUAAGCCCUGCUGACUCGGGGUACUACUAUCUCAGUCUCUGGGGUAGGGCGCUAUCUACGAAGCUACGUCCUUGCCUCGCGCCGCCGCGCCGCUCACGUGUGUACCUGAAACACCCCAAAACAACGUGGGGUGAGAACCAACUCUAUGAUUCUUAGUGGGUACGACCACCCAAGGGAAAAGCUCGACCAAUAGGUCCGAGGAGGCACUGCAACAUGUUAGUUCAACAAUAUACAACAAAUAUAUAUUCAAAUUGAAAUACAUGCCAUGCCUCACAAUAUGCGAUAUGAAAAUCAUGCAACUAUAGUAGAUCAAUUGAUUCUACAUUUACUUGGCUAAUUUUAGCUCAUAACAUUCAACUCUAAGGUUUCUAUUACCUUAGGAUCACACUCAAGUCCACUGGCUUCUAAGGUCUCUAUUACCUUAGCUCUAGCCUCUAUCACUAGCUUAUAAGGGUUCCACUACCCUAUCGAAGCUAUCCACCCGACUCGGCCUCGAGUCAAUCAUCCGCGGAUAUUCCGCACACUGGCUGCUCAACAGCCUACCGCUCUCCGUGACUUAGCUCUUAGCGCUGAAAUCGUUGCACACGAUGAACCCGGCUCAAGUCCCUUAACAUAGCCAUUCUGGCGGCGAACAUGUUGCACUUACCUAGCGAGGACUCAAGUCAUGAUCUAUCCAUCUGGCGGCGAACUAAUCGCACCUCACCCAACAAUGGUUUCAGUCACGACUCAGCCACCUGGCGGCACCCGUAUCGUACUUACCCAGCAAUGGUUUCAGUCAAUCCCGGCGGUCUGAUCCACAAUUGGCUUAACUAUCCGGCGGCGAAAUCGUCGCCCACGCCACGACAAUGGUUCAAGCCUCGGGCGGUAAGCCCCAUGUGCUCGCCCCCGAUCCUCCCUAGGUAUCAACCUCGGCGGCGAAAUCGUCGCACACGCCCUAGCCUUGAUACCAGGGUCAUCACAAGUUUUGGGAUUCCGGAAUCCGCUUCCACAGGUCGAGGGUCCAUAACCAACCCUAUGCUGUCGACCUAGAACAUCCUUGUCGUCGCUACCACUAUGCUCAACAACCUAGGUUCAAUGUCACUCUAGGUUUAUUACAUACGUAGCUUAGGUUCCAAUACUCUAGGUUCUAUAUCACCUCUACCUAGAUGUCAACUUCUAGGUUCACUUGUUCGAUCUAUGUUUACUAACACUAGGUUCGAUGCCAUACACACCUAGAUUUGUUCGACUCUAGGUUCACUUGAUCAACCUAUGUUCUUUAACACUAGGUUAGGUGCCACUCGAUCUACUUGACAUCCUAGUUGUCCAAUAGAGUAUCUAAUUGUCCUCUAUCCGGUUCUCUUGUCAAUCAACUCUAUUAAUUCUAGAGUUAUCAACCUAGUUUACGUGCAUAUCCUCACAACGCUAAUCAUGCGUUCUAUGAUCUCUAUAUCAUUUUAUAUGCAUCUACUUAGCAUUUUACCACAUGCAUCAUCUAUGUCAUUUUAUUAACAUGCAUCAAUAUGAAUUCAUUUUACUUAGACAUACAGGCGACCUAGUCGCUUCGGUAAGUACAACCCACCUUAGUUUGCUUUCCGAUUGCUUGUCGACACUUGCAAUCGGCCUCCCGCGGUACUCGACAUCCGGUUUGGCCCGAUCUCGCAGUUGCGCUCCAACCGCGCGCUGCUUUGCAGUUCCGAGAAUUAAAGGUCUUCGCUUUGUUGUUACAGUGCUCGGGACCCAAUCUCGCGAUUUAUGGACGUCGCCUCGGCCCUCCAGGCGAUAACAAAGCCGAAAACCCUUAUUUCGGCAAUAUCUUCUCGUAGGCUCGUCGGAUCGUUGAACCGACUUCGCCAACGCGUUUCGUUACCUAUCAAUUAGGUUUACAGAGGGUCAAAUGAGAUCAAACCCUCACAAAUACCAACACUCCAUUUUGGGUGCCCUAGAUGCUACUAUAGCCAAAUCCACCAAAUCGAUCUAUGAAAUGAGGGGAAUCUAUCUAGAUAGCAUGCUAGGGUUCCAAAUAAACUAAUUUUAGAGAUAAAAAAUCCAUCUCUAAUGAUCUACCAUGAGAGGGCUUGGAAGCUUACCUCUCCAAGAAGCCUCAACCAAGGAGAAGAUGAAGAGGAGGAGGAAGAUCUCCUUCUUAGUCCUCUUCUUCUUCUUCUUCUUCUCUUCUUUUUCCUCCCUUCUAUUCUUCUUCUCUUUCUUCCUCUUCUUCAUGCACAGAGAGAGGGAGCGGCUGAGGGAGAGUGAGGGGGAAAAUGUGAGGAGAGAGAGAGACCCCUCUCAUAACCUUCUAUUGUAACAAUAUGCAUACAAGUCCCUCAACUUUCCACUCUGUGCACUGCCCAGACUGGGCAAGACCCGCGCGGAGGGAUCCGUCUCUCCCUGCCUGGGACCGGUCCCAGAGGACCUUCCUCAUUUCCACGCGCUCGAGAAUCGGUCUCCCUGGCCCAGGGACCGGUUGCCUCGCGCGUUGCCGCAACCACCAGCCGAUGGGACCGGUCUCUCCUUGCCAGGGACCGGUCCCCGAGAGCAAACCCGCGCAGACCAUGUUCGGGAACCGGUCCCUCCCGCAAGGGACCGGUCCCCGAGAGCAGAUCCGCCCAGUGCAGGUUUUUGCAUCAUUUGCUCUCGCGGACUCCAUUCAAAUGCACUUUUUGGGUUUCGUGCCAUUCUGGCUUUUCCGAAGGCUACUCGCUCUACAGUUAGUCGAUCCUGGACGAAGUCCAACUCUCGGCUUUCGAGAAUUCACUUCGUCACACACGAUUUGAUGAAGGGGUUGAAUAGUAGUGUGAAGAGAUUGCACCUAAGGAAGGAGAAUUCUUAGUGAUGCAUAGAGCAGUCAUUAGUCCAAAGGAAGAUUGUAAUGAUGGGCUUCGAAACAAUCUCUUAAGAACUCCCAGUAGAUCCUAUGGCAAGGUGUGCUCUCUUGUUAUCGAUGAUGACAGUUGCUAGAAUAUUGUCUCAAAUAUGAUCAAGAAGCUCAACUUGAAAACGGAACCAUGUCCUAGGCUGUAGACAAUUGCAUGGUUUAAAAAGGCAAAAAGUAAAGGUUACCAAGUGUUGUCUUGUUUCCUUUUCCAUGGGUAAAACCAAGGAUUAAAGUGCCGUGGCACGGGGUUAUGCCGGAAACAUGCCGGCACAGUGCGUGUCGGGCUGUGCCGAUGCGUGCUGGUCAAAAAAAUAUAUGUGUGCCGAAACGUAAUGGCAUGAAAUAUUUAUUUUCUUUAGCAACAAAAAAUAUGCCUAUUAUUUAUUAUAUAUUUUUAUCAAAUCUUUUGAACUUUGUUGAGAAAAUUACCUACUAAUUUUAAGAAUAGAAGGUUUUGAGUUGUGCCAUCGGCAUGAGAGCUGUAUCGUGUCGAUAUCUUGCUAGCACGAUACGACACGGUGGAUACGGCCCGUGCCAAUAGGCACUUUAAUCCCUGGGUAAAACUUAUAAAAAUGAAGUUUGGUGUGAUGUAACUCCUAUGGAUGUUGGCCAUAUGCUCUUAUGUAGUUCUUGGCAAUUUGAUAGCAGUGUUAUUUAUAUGGGGGGUAAAGUUAGAAUUUUGGAGAAAAUAUUUUUCAAAACCCACGUGCAUCAUCGAGAUGGCAGACCACAAACCAUCUAAUAACAAAUAAACAAUAUGAACCAAAUUGUAAAUUCAUAAACAAAGAGUGAAAACUAAACAAAUCUAAAUAAAAUAAAGAUGCUUCAUUUAGUCUUGCAUCAGCCUCCAAGAAAUUAAUUGUCAAAGAUAUUCUAAUAUUCAUUAUGUUCAUUAUUAUAUUGUAUAUCUUUCUUUGUGACUUGUGCUACAUCUAGUUUAUCUAUAAUUUGCAUAUAAACUAUAUGCCUUCUUGAACCUUAGUAUAAUUGUUUGGCUUGACUUUUCAUUUGACUUUGACAUCAUUUAAACUACUUUUACCUAACAAAGCAGCUUGUCAGGCUCACUUGAAACGAUUGACCAAUUAUACACUUGUGUUUUGGCUUAAUUUCAUUGAUCGUGAAAUUGAUGCCAUAUUCCUAUCAACCAACAUAAAAUCUAUGAGGCUAAUAAAUGCCUAUGAAAGACUAUUAAUUGAAUGACUUCGAGAGACUCUAAAAUUCUCCUUAAAACCAUUCAUAGUAGGGGGAUGGUGGGAAAAUUUGAUUUUCUAGCUUUGUCCACAAAUGCAAGUUUGAAAAUAGAUUAAAAGAGUUUUCAUGUACAUAAAGAACCGAUGUCGAAAGUUUUACUCAGGGAUUCAAGUGCUGGCCUGUGGCGUAUGGCAUGGGGCAACACUUAUCGUGCCCCCAGUAUGGGGGCACGGUACAAGGGGAGUCUUACAGGACGCUAUACCCCAGUGGGUAUCGCGGCACAUUAUCAUGCCGGUUUUAUUUUAUUUUAUUUUUAUUUCUGUUGUGGUUUUUUUUUUCUCUUUUUGCACACUCACCCCUCUCCCUUCGAACGCACACUGUGCUACCUGUGGGGAGUGGGAAUCUUUUUCCUUUUUCUUUUGGUGGGCCUUUGUGUCCCCUUUUUUUUCUUUUGUCGCUUAAAAAAGAGGCAAACAAUUGCAAAUCGAAGAUUUACUUAUUAUGUAAGCAAAAAAGUUAUAAUUUAAAUUUUUGUUUAUGUAUUUUGAAUAUUUUUUAUUUGUAAAGCUCAUUUUUUGAAGAAAUAUAAAAUUAGGCAGUUUUUAAUCUAUAGUUUAUAAAAAGUUAAAAAUAGAUCUUCUUGAUUUAAUUAUAUGGUCAAAUUUUUAAUUUUUAAUUUUAAAAAUUUAAAAUUAAAAAAAUUUUAAUAUUUAAAACUAGGCCGAAAGCGGUGAAUGAUUUACCGCUUUUAGAAAGUGGUGAAAUUCACCUAACUUGUAUGUUUUCUACAUCAGAAUUUCGAUGAAUGUAUAGUAUUAAACACUAAAAGUAAUUUUAAUGCUUUGGAAAAAGCGAUGUAUGAUUCGUCGCAUUUAGAAAGCGGUGAUUCAUUCACCGCAUAGGCCUAAUUUUGUAAAUAAAUCUUUGUAAGGGCUAUUCUUAUUAUUAUAAGAUUUUUUAGUCUAUUAAUGAAAACGAUUUGGUUUGUACCGUCUGCUAUGACAUCCGCUAUAUGUUUUCCGCUAUGAGAUUGCCCAAAUGCUAUGUGCCUGCUACUUGCUAUUUACAGCCUUGUAAGGAAACAAAGAUAGCAUACAAUUGUAUAAAAUGUUUUCAACUUUACUUUUAACUUUUGUAUAAUCUCCUUAUAAAUGAGAUAUAAUUGCAAUUUCUUGAGAGUUAAGUAUUCUAUUGCAAAUUUGUUUACUUUAUUGAUGAAUGUAGAAUUGACUUUUGGGAUGAACUUUUUGAGACAAGGAAGAACUUCUUAGUAGAUAUUUUCUUUUGUUUGCCUUUUGGCAUCCUGAUUUAACCUUUUCAUUUAACCCUUUGCGAAGAGUUCCAACUUACCACUAUUUGAAUGAAGAAGUAAUUUUCCUGUGAAUGCAACUCAGCUUGACGUAUGAUCGUCUAAAGGCUCCUAACUUGUGAUUUGCACUCAAUUUAUGUCCUUUACUCAUGAUCUAGAAUGCAGCAAAUAGAAGACAUCGACAUGUUGUUUGCAUCAUUGAAUUAUUGGUUGUUACUAUUGGUUUCUUCUGUUCUAGUUUAGCUUUUACGUCCAACAAUUUGUAAUAGUUUUCUUAAAUGUACGUUUUCUGCAGCUUAUGGAUCUUUUAGCCUCGUGGAGAUCUUCUCUGACAAACUUCUUUCGUGGUAUAUUUUUCUUUACGUGAAAAAUUGCACUUAUAUUUUACUAUCUUUUACGGAUGAGUGCUGACAGUUUAGUUAUUUGAGACAAGCCCUGGAUUUUGUUAUUCCUCUACCCGUUAAUAUUUCAUUUUGCAACUGAAUGGCGACAUGGUUGAUAAUUAUGUGAUUUUUCCUUCCUUCUCCUUAUGGAUUCUUCACAUUUCCUAAGAUAAUUUACAAGUUUCUUAUCAAAACAAAUAUUACUUGUGUAUGUUAAAACUAGGAAGUAUCUAUUGUUGUAAUGCUUGUGUUUAUACCGAAUAUUCUUAGCAUCGCAACUUAUGGACAAAUUAUACUGCCAAAACCCAGGUUGUUAUGCUGUUAGGCAUUUGCUAGCUGCCGCUAACGCAAACUUUGGUUUAUUCAUUUGGACUCUUUUCAUUUUUAGUUUUCUUUUAGUUCUUUUUUACUAUAUAUUUCUAGUAAAGAACUAAUAUAAAAUAGAGAUACAAAUGCCCUGACCUAUUAGAUCUAGGCAAUACUAGUUGGUAAAGUGGUUAAGGAAGCAAAAUAAUAUGGUUUGAUAUGAUAAGAAAAGAUUUAGUCUUAUUUGUUUAGGAAAGGACAUAACUCAAAGUGGAAUUCAUUGGCUAGAACAGAUACAUGUACCUUACCCUAUAUAAAUUCUUUUAAAGAUUCACAUUACUGAUUCUAAGCUUUGAAAAAAGGCCUAUUUGAGUUGAGUAGAACAACACUAAACUAGUAAUAUUUAGUAGUUUUAAAAUUAUGGAAUUUGGAUGAUGUGUAUUGCUGGUUUCAAUUAAUGCAAGCUAACACUUCGUAGGGUAAGUGUAGAACAUUAUUACGUGUAGAUUAUGUGAACAUGAUCGGCAGCGAUUUUAGUAUACAACAUUUGAGUUGGUGUGGUAGCUCUAAUAUCUAGGUAUGGAUAUGUGCAACCUUGUUGCUGUAGGUUUCAACUAAUCAUAUUCAGUAUGACAAAAAGAACCAAUGUUGUUUUAGGGUACGGAAUUGGUAUCACAUUGGUUUGAACUAUUAAGUCUAACAAUUUUGGUCAAUGAUUUAAGAAACUAUCUACCUAUACGGAUGCUACUACUGCCGCAUCAGGUGUGAACUGAUCAUUUGAAUAAUUAGAACUCGCAAUAGACUCCAAAAGUUUUGGGGUGUUUGACGAAAAUAGACAAGAAAAAAAGCUGUCCUAGAUUUGGAAUUAGAAGUUGGCUCCGUCAAUAUUAUGAAAUUCACAAUUGUUUUGUGCCCAUGAUACAACGUCACGAACUUCCUCAUACAUAAUUUACUUCUAGUUUAGGAACCGUGAGAAGGUUUGCAUCCCAUACUAAGUGACAAAUUUGCUAAUGGAAGGGCGUAAAAUGUUACCCUCAUGCGAAUCCUUAGUUAUGUUGUCAUGUCUUAAAAGAUGGACAUUGGUGAGCUUUCAUAGUUCUCAGAUGUAUGAAAGCUUAAUUUGAGUUCACAUUUAAAUUCACAAUUGAAAUUAAUGAUCCACAAAGCUCUGGGUGGUCAAGUUUGGUUUGAGUCAAGACAGCAACAUCGUCCGAAGGGCAUAUCUUCCACAUACAGAUGUCGAUCGAGACUAUUAUUUGUUUUAUGUGUGCGGAUCGAGAAGGUCUAGUCAGAUUCUGGCAACGUAACUUAGUACGCGUCCUAGGGCAUUUUGGGGUUGUUUGGGCGUUCAAAAUCGCAGUCAAUAGUUUGACUUUCUAUCUAUAGAAAGUUUGACCAUGAUUAUCUUCUUUUCCGUAAAGAAGUAGGAUUUCAUCUUUUAGUCAAAUUUGAUGUACUUAAUAUGCUCUUCCCAAAUAUGAUACUGUUGGACCGACUUCCCAUAAAAGGAAAAUACGGAGUCCAAGGAGUAUCACUCUGAAUCGGGGUAGGAUUGUGGAUUCUGUUCGGGUUUUUAUAAAUAUAACUCCUGUAAUCUUUUUAAUUGAGGAAAUGAAAUUAAAAGGAAAUCUUUUUUUGUCUAAUAUCUCUCUCAUCUCUCCUCUAAUAUUCUACAUCUGAGCAUUUUUUACGAAAGAUCACAGACCCACUUACAAAUUGAAUUCACAUUUCAAAUCCAAAUCAAGUCAUAAAAUUCACAAUUUAAAUUUCAAAUUGGAAUUAAAGCUAAAGUUAAAUUUAAAACUAGAAUGCUUCUAGGAAGAGCUUGCUCACUGUAAGGAUUAUUACAAAGAUGAUUACUAAUCAAACACAUCAAUUUGACACUUCUUGAGUUUUGACAUGAUAUACUGUGCAAAUGAAACAGAGAAAUCCUAUAUUUCAAGAAAUCUGAUCAAUACAAAUAAAAUUAUGGACGCUUUAACAUUCUUUGUUAAUCUUGCAUAAUGUGAACCAAACGGCUCCUUACUGAUAUACAUUUUGUAACCAAUCUUGUAGAUUGGAUAAAGGAGGCCGAGGUAAGUAGCUUGAUAGCUUAUGUAAAACGUUUGUCAAGCAAAUUAUAUAAAUGAAUACCAUGGAAUUCACACUUUUAGGCUGCUGUACAUGGAUGAUCCAUUGCGGCUUCAUUAUCUAGACAUAGCCACAAGCUACAAGCAAACUAUGGGAUGUUGUGCAUCAGGACCUGGAGGCAAUGUUAUGUAAUCGAUGGUUUUCAUAACACUUCGUAUACAUAGAGGUAAGAAAGUUUAUUCAGGGAAAAAAACCUUUGGUUAGUGACUCGAAUAGUAGGUCGCUGUGAAAAAUAUGCAAUUGGUAGCCAUGAUGGCUAGCAGUGAAUUAACAUUGUUAGUCCUAUUUUAUUAUCAAUUUUCAUGAGCAAAAUAUGUUUAGUCUCUUAUGCUUGUUUGAAGUCAAAUUCAUGAAGUCAUGAAGUUUAUGAGUCUCCAGACCCCUCAAUAGUUAGGGAGGAUACUUAAUUAAUUUAACAAGGUACUCCAUUUGUGACCAAAUUUGUAUUUGAUUUAAGAUCUAGGGUUUGAGACCGUCUUGAUAUUGGUGGUGUCUUGAUUUCUUAGUAUUCAAAUUAGAAGGCGGACCUAUGUAAGAAAAGUGGCUUGUCCACGACUGACUAAUCCAAAUAAUACAUGAGUUUAAGGCUUGAUAGGUUGAGAUAAAAGGUGGAUGGGAUGAUGAUCGAUUAAUUGAAUAAAGUUUAUAAGUUUGGUGAGGACAUUCAAUCAAUUUGAUAAGGUAAUUUGGUAGUUGGUCUAAGAUAUACAUUGCAUUUUGCUUAUUUGAGAUGUUUCUUGUUGUGGUCUUUAUUUUUGUGACCUAUGAAGGAAAGUGAACAAAGUCUAUGAUCAACUCAUCUGGACAAUAGAUGAGGGGUUCAGGCUUGAUUAGUUUAGAUUAAAGGUGGACAGAUGGAGGAUUGAUUAAUUGAAUAAAAUUUUAAUCUCUUGGCAAAUCAUAGAUCGACUUCGUUUGGAUUGCGGGAGAUUGCAUUAUGCGAGGUGGGAAAGUAUGAUGAAAAAAUAUAUUGUUUUUUUCUGUACGUAAUAUCACAUUGUGCAUGCCACAAUGAGUAGGUUAUGAUAUAUAUUUUGCUAUUCCAUUGGAAAACGGAGAAGCAAAUUCCUAUAUGCUUUUGCUGCAACUACAUUUUGCCUAAUAGCAUUAGAUGGACUUCAAUGCCAAACGGGCCUAAGAGAUGUCUACUAGUCCACCACUGUGUUUACUCUUUGACUACGAUACCUAAUGAGCUUUGAUCUCUAUUAGCACACUUUAGCGUUUGUGAGAGGGGUAUAAAAAGGGUUCCAUCGGAAAGCGGCAAAGCAUAUUCCUAUAUGCUUUCACUCCAACUCCAUUUGCGCAAUAGCGUUAAAUGGACCUCAAUGCUAAAUGGUAAGAGAUGUCUAGUAGUCCGCUAAUAUGUUUUUAACCAUCGACUACGAUACCUAAUGAACUUUUAGCUCAGUGAUCGCUAUUAAUGCAUUUUAUGGUUUGUGAGAGGGGUAUAUAAAGGGUUUCAUGAGUAUUAUUGUUCUCUCUUAAAGAAAGAGUUCAAUAGGGACAACUUUAAAAAUCAAACUCUAUUACAAUGAUAGUUUUUCAUCUUCAAUAAAUUCAUGUAUAUUAACUAUAAUACAUUAUAAAAUUGGUCUACAUGGACAUCACGAUCAUAGCCUGCAAGACUGCAAAUAGUUGGAUUUCUCAUGCAAGCCUAGUGCGUUGCAGUGGACUAAAUUGAAGACCUUAUUAUAUUUGAAGUGGUUGAAGAAUAUUCAUUAAGAAAUUCAGGUGGGACAAAACUAACACAACCUUGGAAUGCUCCUGCCUAUUGCACUAGUCAGCAUAGUGAGAAAUGUGCUAAAAUUGCUUUGGCAGAGUAGAGUAGCCCAUAUCAAGGUACCUCCUGUGCCAUAAAGUAUUGAACCUUGCCAACAUGUAUCAAGGUGUGUAGGGAUAUAUCGAAUUUCAUCAAUGGUAUUGAACAGUAUGGAUGGUUGCUUUUCCCUAUGCCGUGAUAUUCAAGGUACUAAUUUAAUACGACAAUUCUGAAGUACGUAAUUUCUACAUUUGUGUGUUGUUAACAAGUAUUUGUUACAUAGCACUUCAAUAUUUAGCAAGCUACUUAUUUAUACAACUUUAAAAGAUACGGAAUUCUAAGCACAAUUAGUUCCAAUUUGGUACAUUAGGGCCUUGAGAAGUUAUUAUAUGGUGGCCAUGGUUGCGGCGGCGGCACCAGUUUUUUCUUCUUUUUUUUGGGGGGGGCGGGGAGGGGAUUAUUGUUCUUGUGAAUUUCACGGGCAUCAUGGGCAUAACAACUAAAAAACUUGGAAGUAGCUGAAUUUUUGUAUAGAGGGACAUACAUUAUGGGACUUGAAGUCCUUGGAAAGCAUCUAUAGAUAUAUUAAAUCCUGAGUUUUACUGUGGCCGACGUGUCGGCUUCUCAGCGCCUCUCUCUCUACCGUUCCCUCUCGCGCCCCUUCGGUUUCUCGCGGUUGGCGGGGGGCUUCGGUGGGACCACUAUUUNUUAAAUAAUUUGAAUUUAUCAUUACAAAAUUUUUAAAUAGUGAUACAAAAUUAAUGUCUAAAGUAGAUCAAUUCUAAAUUUUUUUAACAUAUUAAAUACAUUGAAUUUAUACAUAUAUUUUUUACCUACAUUCAAUUUUUUUAAAAUAAGUGAUACAAAAUUAAUGUUUAAACUAGAGAAAUUUAAAAGUUUCUUAAAUAUAUUAAAUAUGUUGAAUUUAAAUAUUUGCCAACAUUAAAUUUUUUAAAAUAGUAAUACAAAAUUUCUCUAACUUAAAUUGACAUUUGUAAAAUUUAAAUGUUUAAUAUUAAAUAUUUAAUAUUUAAAUUCAAUGUAUUUAGAAAUAGUACUAUUUCUAAAAUUUCUAUAAUUUAAAUUAAUGCCUAAAUUAGAGAAACGCUAAAAUUCCUAAAAUAAAUGGCUAAAUUAAUGCCUAAAUUUGGGAUAUCAAUCAAUUUCUAAAAUUAGUAAAAACUUAAUCCCUAAGUUUAGGAUAUCAAUGAAAAAUUUAUUUAAAUAUUUCAUUGUUUAAUUACAAAAAUAACGAAGUAACCCUUUUACCUGCUAUAUGUUAAAAUUACAUCUUUACCUCCAUUGAUCAAUGGUUAAGAUUUUUUUUAUUUUUUAUAAAAUAAAGUACCGAAUCAUUUCUCAUUGAAUUUUAUCAAGAGUCGGUAGUAGAAAAAAUAUUAUUCAUUUUAACUUCAGUAUCAGUAAAAAUCAAUCUCAACUUGACAAUCAAUUAAUAAGUAAAUAAACAGGCCCUUUGAGUACCUUGGAAUAUCAUGCAUCUCACAAUUCCAAAACUUCGAGUAAUUGCAAGAGCUCAAUAUUUUCAAUUUUACAUAUUUAAAUUUUAAAUUUCAGUUUCUAAAUUUUAAAUUUUACAUUUUUAUAUUUAAAUUUUGAAUUUUAAAAUAUAAAAUAUAAAAUAUAAAAUUUAAUAUUUGAAACCUAAAAUUUUAAAUUUGAUAUUUGAUAUUUAAAAGUUAAAAAUAAUAUUUAAAAUCUAAGCUUGAAAGAUGUUCAUUUAAAAUUUAUCAAUUUUGAAUUUUAAAUCGGAAUGAUAAUUUAAAAUUCAACUAUGAAAUCAAAAUUUAACUUUUUAUUUUAAAUCGAAAAUCAAACUGAAAUUUUAGGUUGCCGAUGUUGGUCCGUUGCGAAACGUGGGCCCUAAACUAGUCUGAUUAAAAGCUUGAUUUUGUGUUGAAGUUGGCUUUGUCACCAUGUGUUAAAUAACAUUUGUAGCAUCUAUGAACUAAGUUUGUGCAUAGCACUCCUAUUAGAUCAUGAGUUUGUUCUACACUACUUGUCUGUCUCCCUCAACAAAUUAUGGUCCGCAUAUUCGCCUCACCCCUAUAAAGCUGUCAGAUAGAAUCUAUUUGCAGAAGAGAGGAUAGAGAUUUAGAGAAAUUGGAGACAACAAAUAGAAACAUUGGUAUAGGAUAAAAAUAAAGCACAGAAAGCCUGUGGGUUUUUUUAUAGACGAAAGCCUAAAAGAGGUCGUGUUAUUAGCUGGAAAGAAAGAUGGUCCUCGACAAUCAACGAUUUAUGAUUUACUAAUGACAUGGUUUAGCAUUCCUUUUAAUCAAGAUUGCAAUUCGUGGGCGUAUGGCUGCUUUUGAUCAAGACAACUAGUGAACGGAGUUAUAUUUAAGCCUGUGAUUUAGGAAGAAAAUAUUUGAGAAUGAAUUGAACAAUUUAAAUAGCUGGUCAGCGCAUAGUUAUCUUGAGAUACAUCCUUGUAUUACUUGUUGAUUCUAGAAUUCUUAAAUUUUCUCAAUUCUAUCAAUUAUUUUUUAUGAGUGACAAAUAGCAUUCCAUUGCGCUUUUCUUGUACACCAGCUUCGAAGUAAAUUUAAAAGUAGGAAAAAGAGUCACAUUACGUGGCUAAAAUCAAACAAAUUAAUAGAUGUUUCAUGAGCUCUUCCGUAAUUUAAGGCAGAUUACAGAUAGUUUAAUUGUAAUUUGUUUCAUACUUAAUCAUUACAGUAAAAAGCGGCUGAUUGAUCAGUGUAUUUACCUGCAUAUGCAGAUGCAGUCACCGCAGUGCUCUGCAUAAACUGCAUUCGCAUGUGGAUCUAGUGCCACAUAAUGAGCACAUGGGAAAGCCGCUUACUUUCAUCUACUUUAACUGUAUAUAUAUGUGACAUAUCUAUAUUAGUUAAUCAUACACUUAAAUGAUUAAACUAUUUUUUAUUAGUCUUUUUUCGUACUUGGACACAUUUUUUAUAGCUAGAUGGAUAUUGACAUGAACUUUAUAGUGGACUUGUCCUACAAUAUACAUUUUCAUAGAAUGUUUCAUUAUUGUUCUUUUAUCAUUUGUUUUUAUUCAUAUUUUGGUACUGGGUACAUUUAGAGUUGACAUGCUAAACAUGAUAUUUGGACUUUCUAGGUAGUGAAUUCGUUAGUUUCAAAAAAUGACAUCCCAGUUCAUUAGCUAGCGUCAAGAUGAACAGUUAAAAUUGAAUAACCUUCAAAAAAUAAAUUAAAGUAUUAUUUCAAAAUUAGGACUGUAAAUCUUGCCUAAAGUCUAAAUAGUUAAAGAAUUAUAUAUAAACAAUUUAAUUGAUUUGGAUUGUUCGACAUUGUUAAACAAAAAACGCCCUUUUGGCCAUUUGAAUUGUCAAUUUAGAGAUAAUUACUUGAUCAGUAGGUAAAUUAUAUUUAAAUUAUAUCAAAAAAUUAUGAAAUUUAGUUCCUUGGAAGUUUGAUAGCCUAUAUCAUGUUUAGUGGUGUCUAUUGUCCAUUGUGAUGUCCUAUCAGUGGAAACAAAGUGGAAGUGUGAAGGCAUUUUUACAUUUAUAUUUUAAUUUACGUCUUAUGUAGAUCGCGUAUGCUUUCAUCUUCUAAAUAGGUGCUAUGUGGUUUGUUGACCAGCUAGGACUUGUUUUCUGUGUUUUAUAACAUCGUCCUUAAUUGAAACAGAGGGUAGCAUAUAUGCUUCAACCACCCUUUUGUUUGUUAUAACUUGUUUGUUGCAUUCAAAUGGCUCCUUUUUCUGUUUUGUGCAUUUUAAACUUUUCUUUUUUAGCCAAAAUCCGAGCAUGCCAAUCAGAUGGAGCUUUACUUUUCAGACCUUUUCUUUUUGCAGGUUCCCUUUCUAUUAUCAUACGAAGUUGGCUUUUCUCGUUUGGCUCCAACUCCCCAGUGGCAAUGUAUGUAACUUGAAAGAUGCAUUAGGAAAUCUUUGGCCUCAUCUCUCCCCUUUCUUGUAUAACAUAAUGCAAGAAAGGGAUAGUUCUGAUGGAAUGUGGUUCAUAACAAAUUAUAAAUGCUUCUUUGCUUUGAAAGUCUUGUGAUGCAAUAUAUGUGCUUUUGGCUUUUUUAAGGAAAACUGCUCCAACAAAAUGAAUUCACAAUGAAUAAAACUUGUUGCAUGAAUUAGAAUUUCCUGACAUGGUUUUGUCCAUUUCGCUGGAUUCUUUGUUGAAAACUAAUGGUUCAAAUUUUAGCAGCAAUACAUUUACAUGCAUGUAAAGUUGAGAGUGCGGUUGCUGAUGGUUAGUUUGUUCAUGUUACUGAAUAUUGGAAACCUUCUGUUGUUCUAUCCAUUUAUCUCCUUGAAAACACUAUUAAUGUUAUUUUAACUGACAAUUAACCAAGUAGUAGCUAGUAUAUGGAGUGCGAACGUAAUGCCGGAUAAUUUUGGGCACUGCUAAACCAAAUGCGGAGAGAACAAAUAUAUAAUUAGAUAAUCAGAUUCUGAAAUCAAGAUAGAUUGCUCGGACAAUUGCUUACACAAUAAUUUUAGUUGUUUUAUAAUAGUAAAACCGUGUUGGCCAGUGGAAACUUUUAUUCUUUAAAUCCUUUUAUUUAAUGUUCGACAAGCAAGAAUUUAAGUAUCCAUUGGCACGGGCUAUAUCUACCGUGCUGUAUCGUGCCAACAAAAUAUCGGCACGAUACAACCACUGUGCAGAUGGCACAGCUCAAAACCCUCUAUGCUUUAAAUUAGUAAGUAAUUUUCUCAAUAAAAUUCAAAAGAUUUGAUAAAGAUACAUAAUAAACAGUUAGAAUAUUUUGUUGCUAAAGAAAAUAUGUCAUAUAAUAUGUAUCGGCACAUGUAUUUUUUGUAACCAGUAUGCAUCGACACGAACUGGCAUGCACCGUGCUAUACUAGCCGGCAAGUUUUCGGCACAAUCCCGUGCCACGGCACUUAAAUCCUUGUCGACCAGCCAUCUUAGAUAUUGUCAUUCAAGCGAUAGGUAUUUUUGUUAGAUAUAUUAUGAGUUACAUUGCAUAUCAAAAGUAUGAUAACCUAUUUGGGACCGGAGCAUCUAUGAUUUGUUUGGAUAGAGUGGAGUGGCACCCAAGGGACUGUGUGGGGUCCAGACAUUCUUUUGCUAAUCAAACCAUCUUUUCCUAGUUUAUCGGUUAUAGUGGAAAGUAUAGGGUUUUGUCACCUAUUUUGCUCUCUUCACUGGGAACAAGGAUUUGUUUGGCCAAGCCUUUAUCUUAUGAGGAGAAAAUGAUCCAAUUGAUAGGUGGGCAUUUAAUUUCUUGCUUAAAAUAUUGCAGUGUUAUUUGCAUUCUUUAGAUCCAUUACAUAUCAUAAGAAAGUUAUUUUAAGCACCUUAUCCUAAAAAAUUAAUUUUUGCAUGUGGCCUUUGCAUCAAACUCAAACAAAUGCACGCUCUCGUUCCUAACUACCAUAAGAGCAUGGUUAUGUGCUGUUUGCAUGUGCAUGGUAUGGUACCUUUUGUGUGUCUGCUGCAUUGGUAUAAUUGGUGUUUUAUAAAUUGAAAGCAGAAUCUUCUUCCGAUAGAACAUGGAAACUCUUCUUUCCAGACAGUGCGAAAAAAUUGUGAGACGAACACUAACAGAUUACAAAACAGUAAGAACUAGAGGCUGUUGUGAUGCUCCACUUCCCAAGGGGUUAUCCGUCCUAGAACUACUCUAGUCCUAGCAUGCUUAACUCUCUUAACCUCUUGGGUCUAGCCACCACCGAAAAUGCUAUAGUUGGAUUAAGAUGUUUAGCCUUAUUAUAUCUCAUAUAUAAGAGUGGGGGGGUGUCACAUUCCUCCCCCUUUUAAGCCCUGACGUUCUUGUCAGGCUCAAGCACAUUCACAAGCACCAAGCGAUAUCAGACUUGUCUCGCUAACCUUUAACCCACCUUAUGGGGAGCUGCGCUACAACAACAACGGUAAUCAGUUGGAGAGUCACACUCUACCUGCCGUGUAAUCCCAGCUCACUCGAGACUCAUCUUAUAUUUUUGACUGGUGGAUGGCUCUGAUACCAACUGUGAUGUCCUAUUUUCCAGUUCCCAGGGGGUCACCCAUCCUAGCACUACUCUAGUCCUAGUAUGUUUAACCAAGAAUUUAAGUGCCCAUCGGCACAAAUUGUAUUCACCGUGUUGUAUCGUGCCAACAAGAUAUCGACACGAUAUAGUCCCCGUGUCGAUGGCACAACACAAAACCACCUUUAUUCCUUAAAUUAGUAAGUAAUUUUCUCAAUAAAGUUUAAAAGAUUUGAUAAAUAUGCAUAAUAAAUAAUUAGAAUAUUUUGUUGCAAAAGAAAAUAAAAUAUUUCAUGCUAGUAUGUGUCGGCACAUAUGUAUUUUUUGUGACCGGCACACACCGUGCCGGCAAGUUUCUGGUACAAUCGCGUGCCACGACACUUAAAUCCUUGCGCUUAACUUUCUUAACCUUCUGGGCCUGGCCACCAUCCAAAAUGUUAUAGCCGGGUUAAGAGGUUUAACCCUAUUAUAUUUUAUAUAUAGGACUAGGGGUGUCAUAGUUUAGCUGACUCAAUCAGCAAGACAAGCAAGAACAUUUUAUAGGCUUUGAAUGUACUUGGAUUUCAGGCAUCUACAAACGAUGGUAGACCUUGAGAUAACCUUGAGAUCAAAACUUAGUUCAGGAACAUAUAUUCAGUUGAUUUUAAUGGUCUACAUAAAGAGAGCUUUUUGUAUUGGUUUACUGUUUCAACUGAGACAAAACCAGAUCUAGUAUUUAGUAGUCGAUACUUGACUUUUGCUAAUUUUAUUAGUAUACUUAUAUUGUCUGACAAUAUACUAAUUAACCAGCACUGUUAUACUUGUUAUUUGGUUUGUGUUUUCUACUUUGUGAUGGCACUGAUUACUAAUGUUCUUCCUUUUUCAGGGAUCAAAACAUUUAUACUCAAGACACUUGCGUCCAUUUCUUCUCAAACAUCAAGCUAGAAUUGAUCGACUGCUUAAUCUCUUGUCCAAUGAAAUUGUAUGCUCCCCAUGCUACUUACCUUUGCAAUGCAUAAAUUACUUAUUUUCACAUUCGAUUCAAGGGGUGUUUGCUUGCUAUAAUUAUUUCUCUCGCAAUGCAGCUUUUUUCCUACUUGUAAUUUGUAAGCAUCUGUCUAGCUGCUUUAAUUGCCUGCGUCUGUACAAAGAUCAGAUAUGAUCUUUGAUCUUCAUUAAACAUACUUUCUUAGUAAUUUUUUUAUGGAUGAUCUUGAUAUGUAGAACUGUUAGCUUUUCCAUGCUUGAUCCAUCCAGUAUAGUUUUGUAUUGAAACAAGAUAAUGAUUUUAUUUUGUUUUUAAUCAGAACAAGUUUAUUAGCAAUCACAGAGGAGAAAUUCAUUUCGUGAAAGCUGCGGCAAUUAAAUGUGCAACAACAGGUAUGCAAAAUUCUUCCAGCUGUUUCUCAGUAUUUUUCUUCUCUAGCAUGUGUUUUUCUUACAGAGUGCAAAAUUUUGCCUCUAUGCUAGGGUUGUGGUAUUUUUCUGUUUCUUCAUACUUACCAGAUUUUUAAGAUUAGCUACUCAUUAUUUUUAUGCUUAAAAAAUCACUAGUCAUAUUUAGGAGAGUCAUAUGAACCUAUGGCAUUUGAGUAGGGAAGCCCAUGAAUUUCCACCCCAUGAAUUUCCGCAGUAAUAUCUAAUCUGGGCUCUGGUGUCUCUUUCUUCUCGUUCCUAGUUAGGGUUUUCGGUUAGCAAAUCAUUCGUAUGCUGAGAAAUUAAGUGAAUAUGGUGGAGACUCAUAUAAAGCUGUUACUGUAUGUCACAGUAAGCUUGUACAUUUCUACAUUAAGGGGUGUUGGAGUGACGCAAGUACAAUUGGUGCCACGCCCAGGCACGGAAGCUCCGCUGCCCGGACGGAGUCUUCCCUGUUCGUGCAAAGCAGCCAACUGCUAGUAGUACAAUCAGCUUGCAACAUGAAAUACAUGCUAGUAGUACAAUCAGCUUGCAACAUGAAAUACAUGCAGACGAAUGGCAAUAACUAGGAAAAGGGAGUUAACAUUGAAAUCCUUCCAAAUAUUGCAAUUUCUCUUAUAUCCUUCUAUUCAAAUUGGGACAACACCUUUACUACAUAGUUUCAUGUCCAAACUGCACUAAAGCACAUAAAGAGUAGACUAGCUAGCCGCAACUCCCCGCGGUCACACAUUCCUCCGCUUAUGGUUGAAUCUGAAAGUAAGCACCAAAAGGGUGCAAGAACUAAAGACAAUAGGUUCCAGUGGGUACAGUUGCCGAGAGGGGUGAUCUGCACUCAUUCGAUCUGGACGAGGCAUAAUAGUGCAAGUUAAAAGUGAGAAAUAACAACCGGAAAUGGGAGUAAUAUAAUAAGUAGUGCCGAAUACUAUGCCUCUGCAAGUACUCAUGCUAUGCUAUCGUGCUCGCUCAACUUGUUCAUGCAUCAAGUAUAUUAAAAAUGACGUUUGCUAUCAGCUUAAGCUUUUAAAGGCAAAUGGUUAUUUCACAUAGUAUCAAAGCAAAAUGUGCCGACUUCAAAUCUUACCAGACUCCUAGUUAAUUUAAUUUCCUCCGAUUUAAUUCAAUACACAUCCUCGGCCUAUCAAAAAGCCUCGAGCCUUAACAUGAGGGGAGUGUUGAAUAUGAAGUAUUAAAAAUACCAUUCUCUAGCAAUUUAGGCUUUAGAGUAAUUGGUUGUUCCACGUUAUCUUGCUGCUCUUUCUGAGGGCAGGUCCUCAAGGAAAACAAGCAGAAACCACAUGGCAGCAAAGUGAUAUUUAAAUCUUGACCGCAGUGUGCUAUUCUGAAUUGAUGAGUGUCAAACUGCACAUACACUACACCAUAGGGUGAGUUUUUGACCUUUUUUCCGAUGAUAAUGGAUUUGCGUCCUUCAUGGGACUGAAUAAAGAAAAAAAGUCCAAUUGGUCGAAAUGGUUGAAGCUUUUCUACUGUUGUCGUCAUUUGGGAAACACCUGAAUUUUAAAUGUUGCCGUCUGAUGAUUACUUUGUUGCGUCCAUACAAGUGAUGUUCCUAUAGCAAUACUUGGUCAACUUAGUCUCAUAUAAUGAGGUCCCGUUUCCUCGUGAAAAUAGCAGUCAACUUGCUGGCUCACGGAAAUGCAGUUUCAUUUUGUCUGCAAUCACUAAUUAUUCUGUUUGACAUCUGAACCAGCAAAUCAGAUGGUCAACGACAUCGUUCAGAUGGCACUACCUGGAGGGAUGAGGAAUACAGUUCAGGACCAAAACUCGCGCUUGAGACAAGAAGCAGACGAUUCAGAUGGUGAGACCGACAAUUGAAGUUGCAGCAUGAUCGACGGCAUAUCUUAGAAGUAGUAGUUAUGAAAGCAUGCUAAUGUCCAGUUGUACGAAAAGUUGUUCUAUUGAUGCUUUCUUAAGGCUAAGUGUAGAGUGACAUCCUGAUAUUUUGUAAUUAUCACCUUGCUCUCCUCGUAUCUGAAAAUCUACAUUUAAUUCUCCGGAACAUUUAGCUGGUUUGCAAGCGCCUUAUCUUCAGUAAAUAAUGAUAUUGAAUGUGGAUGUGUGAUGGAAUGGUGCUAAGCAGGGGUGUUAAACGAGCCGAACAUGAGCGAGCGAGCUAGGGCCGGCUCAUGUUCGGCUCGUUCAGCCGAAAAAUUUAGUUCGUGUUCGACUCGUUUAUUAACGAGCCGAAUACGAGCUGGCUCACGAGCUGCCCAACCAACAAUAAGUUAAAAAAAAUUAGAUUAAAUAUAUAUAAAAAAUAAAUUUAUAAAAUCUUAUUCCUUGGACUUUGAUCUAAUAGUUAAAAUUUUACGUAUAAAUGAGUCUUUUUAUAAUUAAGCUCGUAUUUAUAUUUUUUUGGCUAAAAAUUAAAGAAUAAAAAUAUAUAUUAUAUAUAAUUAUUUAUUUAUAUAUAAAAAUAUAAAUUAAAUAAAUUAUAUAAAUAUAAAAUAUAUGUAUUCGAGGAGCCGAACACGACACGAGCUAAUCUCAAGCUCCGUGUUCGCAUCGUUUACUACAACGAGCGAUUUGAAUCGAUCAUUUAGACCCGAACAUGAACUGCUUGCAAACAGCGAGUUGGAUUGGUCCCCCCCCAUCCCUAUGCUAAGUGAUUAAAUUCUUUGAUUUUUUUUUUAAUUUUAAAUUUUUUAUUUUUUCGGGAUAAAGCCAUCCCUUUGGAUGGGGGUUUGGCAUUGGCCCCUACCCGUUCAUUUUAAAUCAAAUAAAAGUCAAAUUGGGAAUUCUUGUGCAGUUUCCGCCCCACCGCAAAGAAAAAUAAACAAAAUCUAAAUAUUGACGAGAGGUCAAGUAUAGAAUUUUGAAAAUUAUUGUGAACACAAGCGAGAAUUGCUAAAGUGUGAAGGAGGUUUUUAUGUAUUUUAGCUUCUCCUUAAUACCUCUCUAUCUCUAUCUAGGGGUGGAAACGAGCCGAGCCCGAGCGAGUUUGCCUCAGCUCAAAUUCGGCUUGAAAUUAAUUUCGAGCCUAAAUUUAAGCUCAAGCUCGGCUUGAAAUUAAUUCGAGCCGAGCUCGAGCGAGCCUAAUUUCAAGUCGAGCGAGCUCGAGCCCUAAGCGAGCCGCUUGAAAUUCUCAACAUCGUACGAUUAAUAGUUUAAUUUGUAUAGAACAUUAUUUACAAUUUGAUACAAAAAUAUAUCUAAUAGUUCAAGAUACAAAAUAAUUAUAUGAAAUACGGUAUUAUAAUAUGAAGAAAAAUAAUUAACGAGUUGAAUAUCUAAUCUUUUCAGCUUCGCAUGUCUUCUUUUCCGCCUUCAAUUUUCAUAUUAUUCUUUUUCAUCUAUGCGGUCAAAAAAUGAAUAAAUUAUAGACAAAUAUUAGAUUAAACUAUCUAAUUAUAUAUAACUAAAAUCAAAAUUUUAUAUAAACAAUAAUUUUUUAUCUUAAAAGUAUUCUGUAUAUUUUCUCAAGCACACAAUUAAUGGCAAGGUAGGCAACAGCGGACGCGUGCUGUUACUUGAUAACUUGGGGGCUUUAGGUUUGACCACUUGAGGAGAGAGAGAGAGAGAGAGAUUAGGAAUUUAAGGCUUUGUAAAAGAAAAAGAGGGAGAGAGUGUAAAUUUAGUAAAAUUUUAUUUUUUUGUUGGCAUAUUGGGUUUGUUCUUAUGGGCCAGUAAUAUUGGCUCAAUUUUAACUAAACUUAGGUUACUCACUUAGCCUAUAUAUAUAUAUAUAUAUAUAUAUAUAUAUUCGAGCUUUUCGAGCCUAAUUCGAGCGAGCCGAGUAAUACUCAAGCUCGGCUUGAAAUGAAUUUCGAGCUUUUUUUUUUGUUCAAGCUCGGCUCAUCUAAUUUCGAGCCGAGCUCGAGCGAGCCGAAUAUCGAGCCGAACGCGAGUCGAACGCGAGCGGGCUCGCUCGUUUGCCAGCCCUAUCUCUAUCAACCUUUGGAAAGUUAAGUGCCUAUAUAAUGUUGACACUUUUGCAACUUAACAAAGUAUUCCAAGACCGAAUGUCCCUAGCGCAAGUGGCUAAGGGUUUGGUGGUUGAUACUGGAGAUGCCAAAUUUGAAUUCUAAUCGAUUAACAUUUUCAGCUAAGUUUAUUUCUAAAAAAAUAAACGAAGCGGUUAACAUGCUGCUACCUUUCUCUCUCUAAAAAAAAAAAAAAAAACCAAAAGUGUUCCAAGUGAGUUGUUUUUCUUUGGCAGCUAGCUAGGUGGUCGACAGUAGCUUUCUUAAGAUUGAUUGUAAGCACCUAGAAACUGCGGAGUUUUAUUUUAUUUCUCUUAUUUUGAAAAACAAAAUCUUUCCAUCUCUGUUUAUGCUCACUGAGUUCAAAUUUGUACUAGGACUAUUAUACCUAUAAGAUUAUCCUAGCUUAAACUCUAUUAACUCUAUUAUAUAUAUAUAUAUAUAUAUAUAUAUAUAUACUUAUACUUAUACUAUAUUUAUAGGUGAGGCAUUUUUCUCUACUUGUCUCUUCUUGGCCGGUGUGGCCACUCCCUUGAAAUAUAAUAUUAGUGCAGUCCAAAUUAUUGAAUUUUCGGCUGUUUUUUCUACUCUAUAUAUGUAAAUAGCCCAUCAUCAUCUUAUUUAGUUUUUCAUUAGACUUUAUAUAUAAAAACUAGCUAUUCUAAAUUCAAAGAGUGUAAUACAGGCUGAUGGGCUCAUAAUAAUCGUUGGUGACAUGAUAUCAAAAUAUGUAGGAUCACGUUAACACAAGGAGUUGUUAGCUAGAGUGCACGCGAUGCACAAACGCAGAUCGAUUGUACCGUCUCACAGUUUGAAUGAACGUACGAUAGAAAGGGCCGGGCCGGGGGAAGAGAGAGGAAAUUUAGUCUGUAGUUGGCACAGAGAUGACACCAUGGCGGGCGAUGGCUGCUGAUAGGUGCAGAGACGAGACGGAGUUACAGUAGUGAAUGGUGGGCGCAUAGAGGGGACGAUGCUAGCUAGCCUACAGACAAGAGGUGCAGAAACAAAAUAAGUGAGGAGGGCGGUAGGGAUCGAAACGUACCGAUCGAAUUUGGAUAAAUAUUUGAUGAAACCAUAUAUAUUUGUAUCCUCCGGUUUUUUCUUUUUUUCUUUUUUUUUAAAAAAAAUAUGAAUUCAAAUUCGAAUAUUUGUUGGAUGCUAAAUUUCGUUAUUAUAUUCGCUAAAAAUGAAUUCAGAUACAGUCGAACAUUUCUUUUGACCAAAUAUAGACCCGAUAUGUAUAUUCGGGUAUUAUUGGAAUAAUAAUAAUAUAUGCACUAAUAAUAUGCACUUAUAAAUUGCAACUAAAGUUUCGCAUUCAUUUUAAACUGUUAUAUACCUAUAUUUGAUUGAAUCAAACAUAAGAUUUAACAAUGACAAAUGUAAUUUUUAUAUGAAACUCACAAAUAAAAUAAACAAGGAGCACAAAAACCAUCUUGUUUUCCCAUAAUAUAUAUUCUCUCUCCACAAAAAGUAAUUCAAACUCUGUAUUUCUCCACAAGUCGCAAUUAAGCUGUCUUUAAUCUUUAUCUCCUGCAGAAAAAGAUAGUUAAACACUCUUUAUCUCCCCACACAUAUUACUAAUCAAAUAAUCUUUUGUUUUAAAAAUAUCUCUAAAAAAUGUAAACACAAUAUUGAAAUAAAGAAAUGAGAUAUUGGGAUAAUGAGAAUGGGAUAUUAGAAUGCAAUUUAUUUAAUUUAUUAAUAUAAACUAUGAUAAUAUAUAAAAAAAAAAUCUGGAUAUCCACAACUAUAUAUAUUCUGUGUUUUCAAAUAUCCGGAUAAUUUUGACUUCUUAAAAUUCUAUCCGUAUCCAUGUUCGACUGAAUUAAAAUAUUUUCGAUGCAGAAAUAGUUAUUAAUGAAUAUGAAUAUGAAUAUUUUUGGAUAACAUUCUAUCCAUUUUCACCCCUAGAGAGAAAAGAAGAGAAUGACGGACCGAAAAGAAAGGCGGAGAAAAGAGGGUGAGCAUAACAUCAAUUUUUCUAAUUUAAUAUUAGAAUUUCUGAUCCACGAUAGAAAAAAAAAAAAAAUCAUGCUAGCCCUUAUAUUUAGCAGGUGUAAAAUAUACACCCUAAAUUAGGAUUUACAAUUAGCACUACUCUGACAAAAAUCAAACAGAUCGAUAUCUAUAUAAUCUAUACUAUGUUAUUAUUUUAUAUCCAAUUCUCCUCUCUCUCUCUCUCUCUCUCUCUCUCUCUCUCUCUCUCUCCCCAAGUUGAUUUGCGAAUAGGACAAGAGUGGACCCACCUUCUUUUCACCAACCAAAUCUCCUCUUUAUUUUUUUAUAAAAAUUUAAAUUAUAUAUUUUUUGCACAUAGUUAAAAUUGCGUAUAUUAAAUAUAAAUUUUAAUUUCAUAAUAUUUAUCACUUAAAAAUAAAUUAUACAAUAAAAAAAAGAGAAAGAUUGAUAGAGUUUAAGCUAAUUACAAAUAAAUUUAUAGUUGCAAAAAUUUCAUGAAGUAUACUAACUAAACUACAAAAACAAAAGACACAUUUAAAUUUUAGAGUCAAAGUAUCAUUAACUGAUUUAAAAUCAAACAAAUUGAAAUGUUGGAUAGUAAAAAUAAUAUUUUGAAAUGUUGGAUAACCGAUUCAAAAUGAUCCAUAGUUCAAGAAAGUAUGAUACAUUUUUUCUUUGGUUUUAAAAUCAAACUUUAAUGCUAUAUUUAUAGUCUGAUGAGUGAUCAACUUUAAGUUCACAAUCUUCUCGAAUAUCCAAAAUAUAAUUAGUCAUUGAUCACGUUCAAAAUCUUUUGAGACAAAAUAUCCAAAUAUAAUUGAUCGAUUUUUAAUUUUAAUAAUUAUGUAUUCUAAACUUUAUUAGAUAGUUCAGCAUAUUCUUUCCUCAAAUAAAAUUAUUAAUUGAAUAAAACCAAUUUAUGUUCAACACUAUCUUCAUCUGAAAUAAAAAUAAAAUAUAAAAAAGGAUAAACUACACUUUUAGUCAUAGACUAUAAGGCACGUGACCUAUAGUCUUCAAACUUUAAUGUAUUAUAAUUUCUGGCUCAAACUAUGAGGCAUCUCACACCUUAGUUCUCAAACUUUAAUUAAUUAUAAUUUUUUACUCUAACUAUAAGUCAUAUGACAUUUUAGUAAGCAUAAUUUUAUUACUAUUAUAAGCAUAAUUUUACUAUUUUUAUAGUUUUUUCUUUAAUUUACUUUUAUCUUUCUUUUGUUUUUAUUGUAGCAGUUGUUGCCUAUAUAUCACGAACACUUCUAUAAGCCUCCGUGUUCAUAUCGGACAUGCCCGUGUCUGUGUCGGACACGUGUCCGAUAUGACACUUCUUGAACGCGCGUUCAAUGCCGAUUCAUAGCGCAUACAACCAAUAAAAAUAUAUUUUUUAUUUUGUUUUUUCUAUGCAUAUAUCACGUAAGAUGGUAAGCUUUUUGAUGAAUGCAUAUAAUUUUGUUAAUAAUAUAAAUAAAUUAUGUAUUGUGGAGAAUUUUUUUUCUUAAAAUACAUGAACUAUCAAUGAAAAUUUUACUAAUUUUCAUUCAUAUGAGAAAUAUAAUAAUAUUUUACCAAAAUUAAUAUUUUAUAUUAAUAAUAUUAUUAUAUUUUAUUAGUGUUAUCCAUGUCGUGUUCGUGUUCUAAUUUUUUGAAAGCUGCCGAGUUAUGGUGUCUGUGUAAGAAAAUUUUUAAAAUAAUAUAUUUUGUUUAUUGAUCUUUAGUGAAUGGAUACGAUCCUUAGUGAAUGGAUGCAACCCUUAGUGAGUGGAUGCAACUCUAAUCAAAGGGUGUGACUCUUAGAGUGAAAGGAUGUGACUUUUAGUGAAAGGAUAUGACAUAAAAAGACACAUCUUUAUAGUGUGUCUCUUCGAGUAUAUGUCCGUUGGAAUUAAUUCUUACAUUCAUUGAACUUGACUUAUAAAACUUAUUGGUAGUUAUAAUCAAAUGAAAAGUUACAAUUGAAGGGCCACUUCAUGAAACACCCGUUCAUGAAUAGUCACUUCAUGAAGCACUCGUUCGUGGUCUAUAUAAGUUCACAGUAUUGGUUGCAGAAACAUAAGACGAAAUAGUUGAAGAGUUUAAGUCUCCAUUCAUAAUAAUUCCAUUCUUGUUUUCUUAUUCUGUUUGACAACUUAAUCGAGUGAGUGCUCAAAGGCUCGACUUCGUGUGUGCAAACGCAAUUGAGGUUUAUGCUUUAUUGUAUCUUGGGAGACUGUCCGUUGACCCGGUGCACACCAAAUUAUUUGAACGGUGGGGACGGAUUAAGCCUUAUGAAAAGUGGCAUUGCUACACGCCUUGAAGCCUUUUUCAUCUUUCUACUUCAUAUCUUUUUCACUAUUUGCUCAAACAAUCUUAAGGCUUAAAUCCGAUAAUGUCGACUACUACUCUAUGAGAGAUGGCAACAAACUUUAUGAGGUUAGAAAGAUUUGAUGGCAUGGACUUCAGGUGCUGGUAGAAGAAAUUAUCUUUCCUUCUGUCGACUCUCAAAGUUGCUUAUGUUCUCACUACUCCAAGACUAGAAGAAAACGAUGAUGAACCUAUUGCACAAACUCGUACAAGACAAAAAUGGGAUGAAGAUGACAAUAUAUGCAGAGGCAACAUUCUAAAUGCUAUGUCGGAUGCGUUUUUCGACGUCUAUCAAAAUGUGAAAAUGGCUAAAGAACUGUGGGAAGGUCUUGAAGAAAAAUACAAAUCCAAGGAUGCCACAAGUAAGAAGUUUUUUUGUUAGCAAAUUUAAUAACUAUAAAAUGGUUGAUAGUAGAUCUGUUCUUGAUCAAUUACAUGAAAUUCAACAUAUUCUCAAUCAAUUUACUCAAUAUAAUAUGAAUAUGGAUGAAUCUAUAAUUGUGGCCUCUAUUAUCGAUAAACUUCCUCCAUCAUGGAAAGACUUUAAGAAAAGUCUUAAGUAUAACAAGGAAGAGAUUACUUCUAAAGAUUUGGCUAACCAUCUUCGCAUAGAAGAAGAAUAUCGUUUGCAAGAUGGCAAAAAGGAGCAAGAUGCUCAGAGUGCCAAAGUGUAUGUGACGGAAGAUGAGUAUAAUAAAACCUGUCAACCCACAAAAGAAAAUCGAAAGAGAAUCAAGCAUUCGAUCAACCACAACCUGACAAAUAAGAAAAAGAAAGGCGCAUGCUUUCAUUGUGGUAAACCAGGUCACUACAAGAAAGAAUGUCGGUUCCUCAAAAGGGAAAGUGCACUGGAUUCCAAAAAGAAUUUUGUGGCUAGGAUAUCCGAGGCUAACGUUGUCACGCCCCGGGGUCCCCUUUUUGUUUGAAACACAGCGGAAAAGCGUUUGAAUUUUUUUUUGAAAACCUGACCCCAGACUAUGCCAGAUCCGCCACAAAUACAGGGAAUCCACUGUUCACACGGACAGAGUCUCCCCAAUAGCCAAAUCAAAAUAGGGAUGAUAAGACAACAAUAUCGAAUCAGUCAAAUCUACCAAGUCAUAAAAAUAAUGAAACCUUAUAUACCUGAAAGUACUUGCAUAAUUUUCCUAAAGACCUAAACCAUUUUAUUUUCCAAAAGAUGGGGGGCACCAUCGAAGAUAUUUUCUAUUGCCAAAAGCGCAUGCUUUGUCAAAAGUUUCUAAAAAGCACCUGAAGACAAAUUUGUAGCUUACAUUUUGAUGCCACACUUACCACUUACAUACUUACAUAUCGAUAGACAUAUAAGUAAACUAACACCAACAUAUGACAAACAUGAAAACAUAACACACUGCGGCACGUUCAUGUCUNGAACCCGGUAGGUUUUAAAAAUCCAUACCCAUAUCCAUACCCGCCCAAAAACCCGAAACCCGAACCCGGACCCGGACCCGGCCGGUUUUAAAAAUCCAUACCGUUAAAUGAAGAUCUAAGGGAUAAAAAUUAUUAAAUAUUUUAUAUAUUAUAUAAAUAAAUAAAAAUAAAGUAUGUAUAUAUAUAAUUUAUUCAGGUUCGGGUUUGGGUUCGGGUCGGGUUCGAGUUCGGGUCGGGUAAAUACAAAAUCCAUACCCGUAUCCAUAUCCGUCGGGUUUUUAUUUUCUAUACCCAUAACCAAAUCCAUACCCGUUUAGCUCGAGUAAACCCGCCCUGUUCGGGUUCGGGUUCCGGUAAUAUUUCGGGUAUCUAUACCCAUUGACAUCCCUACUCUCACCGAUGUGUAUCAUGUACCCGAAGUUAGAAUGAAUCUUGUUUUAGGAAGUCUUCUUAACAAAUUUGGAUUCAAACUUGUAUUUGAGGCCGACAAAUUUAUUUUGUCAAAGGGUGGAAUCUUUGUGGGAAAAGGAUAUUUGUAUGAGGGCAUGUUCAAACUCAAUUUUAUUAAUAAAAUGAAUAUUUCAGCCUAUAUUAUUGACUUUUCUUCUUUAUGGCAUAAUCGUUUAGGACAUGUUAAUUAUAGAAGAUUACAUGAUAUGGCUAAGUUAGAAUUAAUUCCUAAUUUUGAUAAUAAAUUAGAAAAAUGUAAUACUUGCAUGCUCACUAAAAUUACUAGAAAGUCUUUUCCUAAAAUUGAUAGAUGUUCUAGUCUACUUGAAUCGGUACAUAGUGAUGUUUGUGACUUGCAUGCUUCUUCUACUAUUGGUGGAAAGAAAUAUUUUGUUACAUUUAUUAAUGAUUUUUCUAGAUAUAGUUAUGUUUAUCUUUUGCAUUCUAAAAACGAAGCGCUAGAUAAAUUUAGAAUUUAUAAAUAUGAAGUUGAGGUGAAUGUGAGAAAAUGGUCAAAUACCUAAGAUCUGACAGAGGAGGAGAAUAUUAUGAUCCUUCAUAUUUUGAGUCCAUUGGUAUUAUACAUGAAACAUCUGCACCUUAUACUCCACAACAAAACGGAGUUGCAGAAAGAAAAAAUAAAACAUUAAUGGAAAUGGUUAAUACUAUGCUUUCUAACUCUGGGUUAAGUUAUGGAUUUUGGGGCGAAGCUUUAUUAACUGCUUGUCAUUUACUAAAUAGAAUCCCAACAAAGAAGAAUGAUAAAACUCCUUAUGAAUUAUUUAAGAGAAGAAAGCCCCAUAUAAAUUAUUUAAAAGUUUGGGGUUGUAGAGCUAUUGUGAUGGUUCCAGAACCGAAAAAAAAGAAACUGGGUGAAAGAGGAAUUGAGUGCAUAUUUAUUGGGUAUGCACAACAUAGUAAAGCAUACAGAUUUUACGUGAUUGAAUCUAAUGACUUCAUUGAGAUCAACACAGUUUUUGAAUCUAGAGAUGCUAUAUUUGAUGAAAACAGAUUUGUUUCAAUUCCUAGACCCAAAGAACUUAUUGUGAGUAAAGAACACUCCAAUGAGAAAAAUGAUGUUGCAAUUGAAACCCCAGAACUUAGAAGGAGUAAAAGAGUUAGAAUUGCUAAAAUACUUGGACCGGAUUUUUAUAUUUUUCUUAUUGAGGGUAGUAAAGAAAUGAUUACAGAAAGUUUUUAAUUUUCUUUAAACAUUGAUUCAGACCCCACAACAUUUGAGGAGGCAAUGAAAUCUCCUGAUGUCGCUUUUUGGAAAGAAGCGAUAAAUGAUGAAAUGGACUCAAUUAUGACAAACCAAACAUGGAAAUUAGUUGAUCUUCCUCCUGGAUGUAAACGUAUUGGGUGUAAAUGGAUUUUCAAAAGGAAAAUCAAAGUAAAUGGCACCAUAGAUAAAUUCAAGGCAAGACUUGUUGCCAAAGGGUUUACACAAAAAGAAGGCAUUGAUUAUUUUGAUACCUAUGCACCUGUUGCCAGAUUAGCGACUAUUAGAACUUUGAUUGCUCUUGCUUCUAUGUAUAAUUUGAUUAUUCAUCCAAUGAAUGUCAAAACUGCAUUCUUAAAUGGAGAAUUAGAUGAAGAAGUUUAUAUGGAACAGCCCGAGGGCUUUGUUGUUCCUGGACAAGAGCAUAAAGUGUGUAAACUUGUUAAGUCGUUGUAUGGGCUUAAACAAGCACCUAAACAAUGGUAUAAAAAUUUGAUCAGAUUGUUCUUUCCAAUGGUUAUAAAAUUAAUGAAUUUGAUAAAUGUGUUUAUAGUAAAUUUUCAAAUGGUAAAGGUGUUAUUAUAUGUCUAUAUGUUGAUGACAUGUUAAUUUUUGGCACCGAUGUUCAGUAAGUAGAAAAUACUAAAAAUUUUUUAUCUUGCAAUUUUGAUAUGAAAGAUAUGGGGUAGGCUGAUAUUAUUUUGGGAAUUAAAAUUAUUCGUGAAAAUAAUGGUUUAUUUUUAACCCAGUCUCAUUACAUCGAAAAGAUUCUUAGAAAAUUUGGUUAUUUUGAUUAAUCUUAAAUUAGUUCGCAAUACUGGUAGAUCAAUUAAUCAGUUAGAAUAUUCUACGAUUAUUGGAAGUUUGAUGUAUGCCAUGUCUUGUACUAGGCCUGAUAUUGCAUUUGCUCAACGUAAAUUAAGUAGAUUUACUAGCAAUCCAGGUAAUGUACAUUGGCAUGCUAUUUACAAAAUUUUGAAAUAUUUGAAAAAAACAAUGGACUAUGGAAUUUUCUAUUGUGGAUAUCCAACAGUAUUGGAAGGCUAUACAGAUGCCAGUUGGAUAACAGAUCAAGAAGAUCAUGCAUCUACAAGUGGGUGGAUAUUUAUAUUAGGUGGAGGUGCGAUUUCUUGGGGUUCCAAGAAACAGACAUGUAUAGCAAACUCUACCAUGGCAGCAGAAUUUAUAGCACUAGCGUCAACUAGUAAGGAGGCAAAAUGGAUAAGGAAUUUAUUAUAUGAAAUUCCAGUUUGGCCAAAACCAAUGUCGCCGGUAUCGCUACAUUGCGAUAGUGAGGCUACGCUCUCAAGAGCAUAUAGUCAAACAUACAAUGGGGAGUCAAGACAUAUUGGAUUAAGACAUAGCUAUGUAAAACAACUGAUAUCAGAUGGCAUAAUUACCAUUGAUUUUGUAAGAUCAAACCAAAAUCUUGCGGAUCCGUUGACUAAGGGACUUCCAAGAGAAUUGAUAUUCAGGACAUCGAUGGGGAUGGGUCUCAAGCCCAUAUUACAAAGUCACCAAUGAUGAAAACUCGACUUAACACUUGAAACAUCAUCAAGUCUUAAGUUCAAUGAGCCAAAGUACAUCAUAUGGAGUGAUUGCAAGCACUAUAAUAUAAAAUUUCCAUCCCAAGUAAAGUGCUUGGUAUCAGGAUUGAAAAGGGAAGGUUGAACUAAUCAAGUUCUUAAUAGACCUACAGUAGUAUUUACUGAAGUGUUAAAUACGGGACACUUAUGGUAGAGUCUACUUAUAUGAAUGUGAAGUGUGGCCGCUUCUAGGAGUUAAGGGCUUGACUCUAACAGCAUUCAUGAAACAGGAUGCAGACACAAAGCCAUAAAAGUGUCAACAAUAAAAUAGAGCACUCGAUUGAUUAUACAUUUCUAUGAAGAUAUGUCUGGUUAGUCGAAAAUAAUUGUUGGUUCAAAGCUUGUCUACCAUUCAAUUAUGACUAACUUUGAUGUGUUUUCACUAAGUGUAGGUUCAAGUUUUAAUACACCUACAUCUAUGCAUACAAUUUUGUCAAGUUGUCAAGAAUUUUAAUUUUUGAUUUUUUGAUUUUGAUUUUGUUUUAUUUUGAUUUUGACGUAUUUUGAUGUAUUUUAAAAAUUGGUGGGGAAUUGUAAGAAAAUUUUUAAAAGGCUAAAUUACAGAAAACCUCCCUGUCAUAACCCGAUUUUUCACUUUCCCCCUUGCCAUUUAAAAACCUACACUUUGCCCCCUUGUAAAAUGUAAAAUGUGCACUUCACCCCCUACCGUUAGUGAUCCGUUAGGGUUCCGUUAUAAAAUAUUUUUUUAUGCCAAAAAUACCCUUCCGCCCUCUUCUCUGUUGCUUCGCCUCCCUCCGGCUCGCCGUCUCGCUGCCGCCUCGCCUCCUCCACUGCCUCGCCCUUGCCCUCGCCCUCCCCCACAUCCUCUUCGCCCUCCUUCGCUGCCUCGCCUUUACCCUCGUUGCUCUUGCCAACCUCUCUAUCAGCGCCCACCUCGAUUUCCUCCCUACUAUCACCGAAAUCGAGGGGCGGCGAAGGUGCAGGAAGAGAAGGGGAGCAGGUAGAGAAGAAAAUGGAGAGAAAUCGCUGCCGAUCGAGGUGUGAAUCGCGGCCGAUCGAGGCGGCGGUCGAGAAAGAUAAGGGAGGAGACGAAAAUGGUGAGGGGCAAAAUGGUCAUUUUACACAUCGUACCCCCCCCUCCCCUUGUGAACAUUUUUCAUUUUACAAGGGGGCAAAGUGUAGGUUUUUAAAUGACAGGGGGAAAAGUGAAAAAUUGGGUUAUGACAGGGGGAUUUUAUGUAAUUUAGCCUUUUUAAAAUAAUAUAUUUUGUUUAUUGAUUUUUAGUGAAUGAAUGCAAUCUUUAGUGAAUGGAUGCAACCCUUAGUGAAUGAAUGCAACCCUUAGUGAGUGGAUGCAACUCUAAUCAAAGGGUGUGAUUCUUAGAGUGAAAGGAUGUGACUUUUAGUGAAAGGAUAUGACAUGAAAAGACACAUCUUUAUAGUGUGUCUCUUCGAGUAUAUGUCCGUUGGAAUUAAUUCUUACAUUCAUUGAACUUAACUCAUUAAACUUAUUGGUAGUUAUGAUCAAAUGAAAAGUUACAAUUGAAGGGUCACUUCAUGAAACACCCAUUCAUGAAUAGUCACUUCAUGAAGCACCCGUUCGUGGUCUAUAUAAGUCCACAACAUUGGUUGUAGAAAUAUAAGACGAAACAGUUAAAGAGUUUAAGUCUCCAUUCAUAAUAAUUCCAUUCUUGUUUUCUUAUUUUGUUUGACAAUUUAAUCGAGUGAGUGCUCAAAGACUCGACUUUGUGUGUGCAAACGUAGUUGAGGUUUAUGCUCCAUUGUAUCCUAGAAGGCUAACCCAAUGCGCACUAAAUUAUUUGAACUGUGGGGACGGAUUAAGUCUUAAGGAAAGUGGCAUUACUACACGCCUUGAAACCUUUUUCAUCUUUCUACUUUAUAUCUUUUUCACUAUCUGCUCAAACAGUCUUGGAUCCGUAGUGACUGUGGGGGUGCGCUGUGCUGAAUCNNNNNNNNNNNNNNNNNNNNNNNNNAAUUUUUUGCAUCAAAAAGUAAGGGAAAAUGAAGCUGCAGGGACUGAAAUAAAACUGCAGGGACUGAAAUGAAACUGCCCGUAGGGACUGUUUCGUAAAUACAGGGACCAAAGUGUAAACGGGUCAUAAUAUUUUCGUUAUAACUCCGAUUUGCAAAAUUUUUGUGGCUACAGAUUUCUAACGAAAAAUUACACAUUAUUAUCCAUAAUUUACCUCCUUCUUUAGUUGAGAAUCAAAUUCUUAAUCUAAAACCAAAAGAAGGCAUAUGGAUUCAACUGGAAAACAAAAAUACCUGCGGUGGCGAAGGUGUUGGAACCAAUUCAUCAUCUGAAGACACAUCAUUCUCAAUAGAUCCACUUCUGCCGAUUUGUGAUUCUGUGAAAAAAAAAAAAAAAACAAAGGAUGAGUGUGGCAACAUCAUGUGAAAUUAAUUAUAAGCAGAAUACGAUAAAGAUCACCUAUCAUUGAAGACAUAGUAAGAGGAAGCUUCCCAUGAGCUACUUUAAUUGAAGCAUCCAAUGGUAGAUUUUUUGGGCUUCUUAAAGGUUCCACAUUGCAUAUCUAUGUAAAAAUAUAAAUACAUAUAUAUAGUUAAUACAUGGAAAGAGAGGAUGUUAGAAUAAAUCAACAACAUUCGGAUCAUUCGAAUUCUAUGUCGCACCUUUGACCUUGUUGUAGAAUCUUGCAAAUGCAUUUCACCUCCGGUAGGUGAGUCCAUAAUCUAAAGGGAAUAGACAGGGAAUAGACGAGAUUGAGAAUUUUCCACCUUGAGGACAAGGUGGCUUUUGACGGCUGAGGAAUGAUACGUUUUUAGAUUAGAAUUUUCUAAUUAUGGAAAUAAAUAUUACUAUAUUAGGAUAUUUUAGUUAUUUCUUAACUUAUAUAAAAAUGUUUCUUCUAGAGUUUGAAAUAAUAAGAAGAAAUUGGCCAUCUCGUUCUAUCUUUUCUCUCAUUCUCUUCAUCCUUUUCUAUCUCUAUCUCUCUAUUAUCUCUCUCUUUCGGAGGUUCUAUCCUCUCAAAGUGACUGUUUACCUCUAUCGAUACGGUAGGAUCGUAUCACAAAACUUGUAAUACCAUCAAACAUAUGUUGGUCAAUCAAAAGUCCAGGUAAAUGAACUAACAACAAUUGUGCGUAGCACCGUCAAAAAGAAACAAACUUUUAUUAGCCUCUUUACGUCUCCACAAAAAUAAAUGACACAAUAUUACAACAGUGAAGCUCAAAUUUGACAUACUAAUAUUAGCUGAAAGGACAUCAAAGUCCACUUUUAGAUUUACAAAAAUAAAGACAUGCAGCAACUUUUCAUUCUGCUAUUUCAUUCUUGCUAAUAAAGACCGCGCAACUCAUACAACUGGAAUAAGCACACCAGAAUUACCAGACAUGGAAUGAUUCAGUCGCCAUAAUUCAUGCAAAUUUGCAGAUACAUAAUCUCAGCUAAAAAUAAAAUCGAAGAGCAUUAUAUGCUCCUCCCCUAAAUAUCUAUACAUGAUCUCUCUAAUCAACAAGAAAUACUUGAAUAGCCACAAUAAAAGGUGUGGUUCUUGUGUUCUUUCACAAAUGAUACAACAAAAUACCGCGACAACGGUUGUUCAGAGAAAAGGUUCCACAGAUUAGUUCACUGUUCAGUGGUUAUUAAUCAUUUGGAAAAAGCAUGCCCAGGCAGCAGUCAUAUUAGUUCCUGUUCUUUGCGACUAGCCAUUUUAGCAUUAUCGCGAUCAUGCUUGAACACAAAGUACAAAGGACUAUAGAAAAGGCAACACAAACCAAAAGGAAUGACCAUCAUGAUCAAUAAACCCCUCGAGAGUGCAAACGCCCCUUGAGGAGAUCCAUUCACCAGACUCACAAACUUUGAGUCAUAACCAUAGAUCUUCUCAGUUAGCAUUCCCACGGCAGGAGCCGCAAAUGAGGAGAACGAACCCUCAAAAGCUCGGUCGAAGGCGUAGAUCAUGGUGCGAUGCUUUGAGGGGACCACCUCAGCAAACAUUGGGUUGUUGGCACACGUGGCACACCAGCUGAUAGUGAGCCCCAUGAAAAAGAGGGUAGUGGCAAACGCGUACCAGUUGCUCACGGACUGGGGAAUGACGGUUAGUAGGAUCCACGAGAAUGGAAUGCCCAUAAAGGCACUGAACUGUGCGCAGAUGAUGCGGCCCGAGUCUGGAUAGUAUCGUGACAUCUGAUCUGCUAUUAUUCCACCGAGAAGUGAUCCAGUGGCGCAUCCGAUGGCAAAGAGACUGUUAAGAGCAGCUGAGCUUUUGUGAUCAAAACCUAAAGAAGAGAGGGUUUUAUUAUACAGCGUGUAAGUAACCACUAUAUAUGGUACUUUCAAAUACAAUCCAAGAUCUUUGCUAAUUAAUUCUGAGCGUGUAAAAACAUUUCCGACUUGUUCAUUACCAAUCAGUUCAAACCACAUUGUGAAGAAAACUAUGGCGGUCCAUGGCAAGGAUCCGACUAUCCCCUGCAGGACAAUGAUCUGAAAUGUUUGCACUCUCAUCACAGAUCUCAUUGCUAACCAGGAAUCACUCCAGACGGAAGGUGGAGGUAGACUCCCUUUGGUAACCAGAUGGGACCUGAGAGAAAAAAGAUUCCACUGUUGUACUGUAGUAGAGGUUACAAGAACCGCUCACAUUUGUAAGAAACCAAUAAAUUCUAAAUAACUAUAAUAGCAGAUCAUCCUGAAUCUAGUGCUAUGAAAUGCUUAACAUACUCAGCUUCUAGCAAAAUGUAGAUGGCUUAACAAAAGGGUAAGCUCACUUUGUAAAGAUCUUCCAAGGAAAUAACCAAUUCAUUAAUAAUUUAAUGGUUCUGACUACUUUUCACCCUAAGUUUUCAUUUUGUUCAUAAUUAACAACAAAUAGCUAAUUAAGCCGCUAACUUAAGAAAAUAUACAAUUCAAUUAAAUGAACACAAAUCAAAACAAAUGAAUGUUGAGGGGUUGUCAAUAAGAAACACAGAAUAUCAGGGGCCUACUUCAAAUUAUCAACUGUUGGAGUCUCUUCAUUCACAUUUACCUUCUCAUUUUCCCAGCCCUAGAGGAAAAAGGUCAAAAACUCGAAAGCAAGGUUUUAAGUGCCCGUCGGCACGGGUCGUAUCCACCGUGCCGUACCGUGCCAACAAGAUACUGGCACGAUACAGACCCCGUGCCGAUGGCAUAGCUCAAAACCCUCUAUUCUUUAAAUUAGUAAGUAAUUUCCUCAAUAAAGUUCAAAAGAUGUGAUAAAAAGAUAUAAUAAAUAGUUAGAAUAUUUUGUUGCUAAAGAAAAUAAAUAUUUCAUGCUAUUAUGUGUUGGCACACAAGAAUUUUUUUGACCGGCACGCAUCGGCACGGCUCGGCACGCACCGUGCCGGCAAGUUUCCGGCACGACCCCGUGCCACGGCACUUAAAUCCUUGCUCGAAAGUAUGUUGGUAAUGGUUGACAAAGCAGGCUAAUAACAAGCCCAACCUUUGAGAUUCACGUAUAAAUUGAUGUGGAAAUUCUCAAAGUAACUCAACUAAAUGUUGUUUGGCUGUGCUUAUGCUUUCUUGUUUGUUGUCCUCGAGUAUGCAAUUGAAUUUCCCGGCAAAUGGCAAAUCAUUGCAAACUAUAUAAUUGUAGGUUCUACUUGGGGAAAAAAAACAAAAAAUUAGUAACCAUCCGCUUUCGCUUCUUUGGCUCUUAAAAAAAAAAGGUUUGCAAGCUAAUCAACAAUCACAAGCAAGGAUUUAAGUGUCGUGGCACAGGAUCGUGUCGGAAACUUGCCGGUACGGUACGGUAUGGCACAGUACGUGCCGGGCCGUGCCGAUACAUGCCGGUCAUAAAAAAUUCAUAUGUGCCGACAUAUAAAUAUAUAAUAGCAUGAAAUAUUUAUUUUCUUUAGCAACAAAAUAUUCUAACUGUUUAUUAUGUACUUUUUAUCAAAUCUUUUGAACUUUAUUGAGAAAAUUACUUACUAGUUUAAAGAAGAGAGAGUUUUGAGCUAUGCCAUCGGCACAAAGGUUGUAUCGUGCCAAUAUCUUAUUGGCACGAUAGAUACGGCCCGUGCUGAUUGGCAAUUAAAUUCUUGAUCACAAGAAUAGAGAAGCUCAUCAUCAACACAAUCAAUUGUAUAGAAGUUGAGGAGGAGGACACCCAACAACAGGCAAAUUUAUCCAAAAAAAGCCCUAAAAUUGCUUCAAAAGUUAAGCAUACCAAUUUAUAGUACAUCACAUAAAAAAGUUUUCAUUAGGAUGUAUAACCAACAAAACUUCUGAAUAAUGAUGAUAUAAUCUAGCCCCAAAUCAUAGUUGAAAGAUGAAACUUUAAUACGACCAUACAACAUAAAUUUCAUAAACUAGCUUAAUUUUGUUGUUCUAGGAUCUACUUUAGCGAGUAUGUUUCAAAUUAUAAUUUUCUCCAUCACGUGAAUCAAAGACCUCAAUAAUGAUGAUAUUUCAAUUUUCAACUCUCUAUCACAAGAACCAAAGCUGGAACUACUGAAUUACUCACCAAAUCUACCUAACAUUCUUUUACUAUAAGCUAUACAGCCCUCCACUCUUUAUUGUCACGUGGAAAAUUGUAGGGCUGAAUGAUGAUGGAUUCAAAGGAUUCACAUACAUGAUAACAUGGCAAUACCUGAUAAGAUGCAAAUAUGUGAUACUCUUAUACCCAUCAUCCAUUACUGUGCUCCCUGUUUCUUACCACUACAAGUACAAAUUAAACAGAGCAUAUACCUUCUGAUAAGUAUGGCAUCAUACAGUUUCUAGUUCACUCUUUUGUAGAGCUUGGCCUAUUCUAACUGCAAAUGUAACUAUAAAAAUAUCAUUUUCUAUCGGCUUAAGCUUUUGCAGAAAAUGGUUAUUUCAUAUAAUUUAAUAUCGUAUCAGAGCAAGAGGUCCUGAGUUCAAAUCACGCCAGGUUCCUAGCAUAAUUGAUUUCCUCCUAUUUAAUUCAAGUCCACAUCAUAAGCCUAUUAAAAAGUUUCGAGCCCAGACGUGAGAGGGAAUAUUAAAUAUAAAAAUAUAAAAACAUCAUUCUCUAUCGGCUUAAGCUUUUGGAGAAAAUGGUUGUUUCAUAUUCUUUAAUAGUAAUCUACAUCCAAACUCCACCUCACUUAAGUCAAGAGUAAGGCCCAACACCAUAAGGUGUUCUCAUAUAAAUCGAGGUAAAGUGCACUAGCAAUCAGCGAUUAGUAAGAUUUCUUUGAUAGUAGAGUUAACAACCUUUUCUUUUUUUGGGCCCUACACUAAUGAAUUUCUCCGAACAAAAGUAAGAUCAUCAUUUACCUUUUUCACUGAUUUAGCUAUAUAAAAAAAGGAAAAGAACAAGGAAUAACAAUUGUAGAAUAUUUCAGCGAUCUUGCCACCAUAAGACACCAAUAAGAGCCAAAACAACCAAAAAAUCAGAAUUUAUUUAUUGUCUUGACACUUCAAGAAUCUUAUUUUCAGCCUGAAGACAGCCUUGACUAUGUUGGAAGUUAUGCAUAUGGACUAAUCGACAUUUGUAUAGAAUCUCAAAUAGGUUGAAAAGUCCUUUUAUGGUCAUAUUGGUUAAUCUAGCUUCCUAGAAAACACAGCUCUCUUCAAUUGUAUCAAUCAUUCAUGGACAGUAAAGUUAUUUUCCUGCACAGCCACAGAACGCGGGCCUUCGUCUCUCUCUACUACUACAAAUUGAGAUAUCCAAGUUUAGUAUGAUAAGGCUGAAGUUGGUCAUGGGUGAUAGACUUGUUCGGUAAUCAAUUUAUCUUAUUUGAUUAGGCAAAGAUCACUGAAAGCUAGUUGUUUGAUUAUUUUCCGGCAGCUAGAGCAUUUUUAAAACCUACUUAUGUAAGCCAAGGAUAUGGUGUAAUUCAUUGCAUGACUAAGCGUGACGAGAUCCACAAAUAGGACCUUUCUCAAUCCAUUGAAACAAGAAUACUCAUGAUUGAGAAAGUUUAUGUUGAGUCCUCCAAGAUAAUUUUUUAAAUAAGUUUAGAUACAUUUAUCCCUUCAUAGAUUGCAUAUGUGAGGCCUGAAAUCAAGUGAAAUUAUUGUGAUUACUAAAGGAUGAAGGCCUUCGGUUCAUCGUGGGUUCAGAUUUUGAGUGAAGUUUUCAUUUCAUAAACUUUAUCCUAGUAUGUAACCUUGAAGUACCGGAGCCUCUUAGAAAAUAGAUUACAUAACUUCCAAAAUUGAGGCCAAGUUGUUUAAAGCAACACAUUGCCCACUUGUUGGAAAUGUUGGUCAAGAUAAGGGGACCAAAUGCAAGCCAAGAUCUCUUCGAUGUUGGAAAUAGUAGUUGGCAGGACACAAACUACCAGCCAAAGGAUAGUUGCCUGCUUGACUGCUUCAGUCGCUCAAUCAAUUUCUGCUGGUUCAACUUCAGCCUAGGCCAAACUGAGAGCUAGUUACGACAUGUAAUAACAUAGCACUGACCAGGCGACGGAAGAUUCAAUAAGGUUGACAUAAAAGGAAAUGUAUCAAAAAUUACAAAAGUGCUUAAUUUGUAUCAAAAUUUGUUGAAUGCUAAAAAUUCUCGUUCUUCCGGCUCUAGAACAUGCACCUUAAACUGUCUUUCAUUCAUUCUAGUUAUUAGUUUCCCUGGUAGUACUUUGAGGCUUAAGUGCAUCAGAAGAAUGAGGAGACUUCGUUGAUCUUCAACAUCCAUUUCUAGCAUCCAGACCUUUGAAGAACAACACUGCUAAAAAAUGCAGUCUGAAGAUCUGCAUCAUGCAUUUUCUAUACAAGACCUAAAGGAGAUUUCUCAAACUACCUCACUUCUUUAAAGCAGUAUAACAGCAGUUAAAGAAUCUUAUAUUACCAAAGCUAACCUAAUAUAUCUGAAGAAAACAGAAAGGAUCACGCCUUGGUGACAACAUGCCACUUAAAUAACUGUGUCAACACAACACUAUUCCCUAUUCCCAAAUUCCAAAAUGAAUCAAAAAUGUGAGAAACGGAAUAAAUAAGAAAUGGAAAAACCAAACGGACAUAAUGAAAAACAACUUACACAAACAUAAAUUUAUUUUGAUCCAAAUUUGAACACAACUUUAAUUGUGCUGUGUUCAGCGCUUGCUUAGUAAUGAUAAGCCACAGCCCUCGUAACUAGCAGAGUCCCAUACCAUUCGCCGAACUCGAUAUCACCUGCGAAUGGGACGAGAUGCGAGUUCACUGGUAUGCAAACUCGUGAGCGUUACACUAAUGAUUUGGGAACUCUGAUCUCUGACUUUGCCACAAAUGUGGACACUCUGAGUAUGCUUUGCGGGGAAGAGGACGAGGACUUUGGGCGAAACAAACACCCUCUAAGUCAGAAUUUUCAGAUCCAGUUGGAUUUUUUGCCUUGGGCCUCCCCUAGCUAUUGCUAGCAUAAUAACUUGAUAACUUCUGUUUAGUGAUGGCUAAAAAAAAAGAAAUUGUAGGCUGUAGCCUAAGAAGUAUUCGACAUCCCAAGAAGCAAUUCAUGAAUCUUAGAUGAAAAUUAAAAGAAACAAUAUGUAGAAGCAAAAGAGUCUUUCAAAUAAUAUCUAGCAGUAAUAUCGAACAUAUUAACCUUCAGAAACAUGAAGAAAAGAAUCAUACCUCUCAGUCUCCACAUGAGCACCAGAAGAGAUAAAAGAGGUUCUUCUAGGAUCAACAACGAACAAGAAGACGAGAAGUCCAAUAAGCAAACUCAAUGACGCAAUCAUAAUAAAGGCAAAACGCCAUCCUGGCAUUCCCCAAUAUUCCUGCUCAGCCAUAAUUGUUGCUAAAAUACCACCUCCUAUGCCUCCUAUUGCACCAACAAGGCUUAACAGUCCAAACCCCACACCGCGUGAACCAUCCAUGUAGCUAUCAGCAAUGAAUGAUUGGAGUGCGGGGAUAACGAUUGCAAGGCCAAAACCAUUCACCGCUCUCCAUAAUGCAACUUGCUGAAAAUGCUGACUGGCUCCAACAGCAGCCGUUGAUAAGGCCCAACACGCAGUGCCUAUAGUGAGAACUGUUGGCCGAUCAUAGUGAAGAGCUAGUAGGCCUGCCAAUGGAGAUGAUAUUGCCUGCACAAAGUUUCUUAUAAAUGUAAGGUAUCCAAGCUCAGUAGGUCCGGCAUUGAAUGCUUCACUGACUUCUUUGUAAACUGCCGGAAGGAGAUUCUCAUCAGCGCGCUCCAUUACAGAAGCCAUAUUGAUGAGGAUAAGAGACACUGAGAAUCCAAAAAUCUUCUUUGAUCUGUAUUAAUAAAGUCACAGAAUGGUAUGCUGCACUAAGUAAUAAUGGAUACCAGAAAUUAGAAGUACACAACUGUUCCUGCAACUUGUUUAAUUCUGAGGUAUCCUUAUGAUGUAUCAAGUAAUUAGCAUUUGCAAAGAGAAAGAAAAGAUAAUGAAAUCAACAGCCAUCACUAGUAAAAAAGUAUAUUGUCAAUCAUAUUUGUAAAUGAUUACAUCAUAUCUAAACUAAACGUAUAUGAAUAUAAAUCUUCCCAAGCAGACUCCCCUACUUGAGUUGCAUAGCUGCACAUUCUCCUGAGAAUCCUACGCAAUUUUCUAG
rnacentral:lncRNA from 1 species